UUGUGAAAUUUUGGCGAUGAUUACAAAUUAUCCGCGCUUCUGAGAGCAAUCGAUGAAGUAGAAUGUGAUAAUCAAUGGUUGAAUUUCUUGAUAUGAGCCAUUUAAGUUUUUGAUUUGCUGAUUUGGGUCGGUGAUAUUUUUGGGUUUUGUUGAUUAAUGUUGGCGGUGAUGACUAAAUUUUACAGCUUUAUGCCAGUUCUGCUUCAGAAAAUUCGUGAUUGAGAGAGCUGUUUCAUACUCUGAGCCUUCAGUUUAUUAAUUUGAUUUUGUUUUUCUUUAGUGUUUUGGAUUUCUGUGUUUUUGGUGGUGCCGAUGACGAUUCAAUCCGCUUGUUUGAGGUGCAGUGGAAUUGAGACCCUGUUUACAGGGAGAACCCCUCAGUGACACUGCAUUCAUAUGAAUUCAAUGGAUUUAGCUGAGGUUUUAAUCUUACUUACCCUCCUUGUAAAAUGUUUUUGUGUUACUUGUUUGGUUUGUUGUCUGUCUAUGAUUAGAUUUGUUGUUUGGUAUGUUAUUAAUUGAUUGUGAUUGGUGUGUUAAAUUUUGGUGAUGUCUUCUUGUCCUUUGGCCUGUGAUGAUUCAAUCCGCUUUUUUGAGGUGUAGUGGAGCUGAGACCUUGUUUACAAGGAGAACCCCUCGGCGAAGCUACAUUGCAUAUGAAAUCAAUGGAUUUAACUGAGGUUUUAAGUCUUCAUUACUGCAUCAAAAUCCAUUGUUUCUGUGCUAAUGGCUUGGUUUGCUGAAUAAUGUUUAUUAUUUUUGUUAGGAUUAAGUAUUGUUUAGGCGUCAAUGAUGUUACAAUCCAACGUGUUUGAGGAGUAGCGGAAGUGAGAACCUGCUUUUGUGCAGGUCGAACCUACUCGUGGAAACUACAUCCCUUGACAGAAACGAUGUAGCUGAGGCAUUGCAGUCAUAUGGUUUUGUUAUGUAUUGUGUUUAAUUGUUGGUUUUGAGUUUCAACUAUACCCUUAUCCUUUUUCGAUCAGGUGAAGGGUCUGAAAUAACUCAUAAAUUAGAGUGUUGUCAUCAGCAUCAUCUUGUGUUACUGGUCAAGACUGGAGUUAAACAACAACACUACAUCUAAUUGCACUAAUUUUGUUUCAUUUAUUUUUUGAUUUGUGUUAAAUUUUAUCUAAUUUUUUGUUGGAAUUGACUCUUGUGAUGAAUUGAUAUGUAUGCUCAAUAGCUGCUGCUGUAUACUUCUAUUAACUGAAUUGGGGUUAAGUAAUUAAUAUAGUGAUAAUAAUUUCUAUAACCUACAGGCCUCACCCUGUCUCCAUUGGGGAGUACCCUAAAAAAAGGAACCCUUCCUCUCCCAGCGUUUUCGGGUACGUCCGUGAAUUCUCUUUGUCAAUGGUUUUGGUUUUUGAAUUGUUCCCAGCUGAUCUUUUUGUUGUUGGAGGAUUUAGAUUUUGUAGUGAGUAAUUAGUUUGCAGGAGUACCAAGUGGUACAAACAAGCAUGGAAACAAGAGGAUGAUUGGUGGAGAAAAUGGCGCGUGGAAAUCAUGACCUUGGAUUCGUCAUGUGUGGAUGGGUUUAUGUUGUACAAUCUUUUGACUGGAAUUCAGACCAAAAACAGACAUGUAAUUGUAAAUGAAUGUUGUUGUAAGCUGUGUGGAAAAUUGGAAUUUGAAAAUUAUCAACGUAUCUCUGUUUUUGUAUCAAUUUUAGUUGGUAAAACUUGUAUGAUUAUUAACAUCAGUUAAGCUCAAAACCUCUUGAACCGAGGGAUUCAUGCUCGUAGCCUCAUUGAAUAACACAUGAAAUAACUCUUUGAAAUAACAGUAAUACUGUUAUUUGUGUCAAUGUUCAAGCUCUUUCCCUACAUUGAAUUUAAUGGAUUUAACAGAGGUCUUAAUCAUAAUUACCGUCCCAGUCAAAUGUUUUUGUUCAAUUGUUUGGUUUGUUGUCUAAGAUUAGAUUAGUUGUUUGUUAUGUUGUUAAUUGAUUGUGAUUGUUGUGGCCUGUGAUGAUUCAAUCCGCCUUUUAUAGGUGUAGUGGAGCUGAGACCUUGUACAUUUAAUUCGACACCAGUGGUUUUUAAUUCGACAUCAGUCAAUCCAUGUCGGUUUAAACUGACGCUAACUAAGUACCCAUAUUUAAAUCGACGCCAACUAAGUACCCAUAUUUAAACCCCUCACUUUCCCAUUUCAUCUGUGCUUUCAUUUCUCCCCCAAUUUCAGUCUUUCUUCUUCUCCUUCCCCAUUUCAUCUGUGCGUCCCUUUCUUCCUCCUUUUCAGUUUUUCCUCUUCUCCUUCCCGAUUUGCUAUGGAUCACCAUUUUGAAGAUCAACAUUUUGAGGAACUCCAAUCUGAACAUUGUCUACAGGGGAAAGCUCGACAACGGCCGCUUAAUCGCCGUUAAGCGAUUCAACAAGCUCGCCUCGUCGGACAAUUGCCAAUUCCUAGUCCGUUAAACUCAACCCUCCCUCCACUUUUCAACAUUUUGAUAAAUCUCAGUCUAGAUUUUUGUUUUCAGAAAAAAUAAGGAAAGAUUGAAUCUUUUUUUGUUUGCAGGAGGAGGCGAGGGUGGCGCUGUAUCUUGCUCAGGCUCUUGACUUUGCAGCAGCAAAGGUCGUGCCUUGUACUAUGAUCUCAAUGCCUACAGGGUUUUGUUUGAUUAGGGAGGUUAUAAAGUCUUCUGCUUUUCGAAUUGGAUUGAAUUUUUUGGGGGUUAAUCUGUUUGUUUGUUUUUGUUUGUUUGUUUUUUUGUUGUUAUAAUCGAGUAGAAGGGAAUGCAACACAAGGACUUUCCGCGAGGAUGUGAAUCGCAUGUUUAUCUGUUUUUAUUAUUUACCAUUUGGGUUUUUGAUUUUGUACACAGGAUGGUAAUCCCAGGUUGUCAGGCUUUAGUCCAAAAGCGUUUAUCCUUUAAUUAACAGACAUUUAACGAAAAAAUUACUUUUGGACUAAAUUUGCUAACGGACUAGCACCAUGAGGGUUUAAAUCCUAAUUUUUUUACCAUGAGGGCUAUCUUCCGAUUACCUUGUCACCACAAGGACCAUUUAUCCGAUUAGGCCUAAAAUUGUUUGUUUUUUCAUUGACAUAUGGUGAGAUUUAUUUUUAUAUAUUUUUUUUUUAAUUAUUAUUAAUUAAAAAUGGAAAAAUAAUUUUUUUAUUAUUAAUAUAUUUGGUGUCGCUUAUGGACGACAUCAGCUAAGUAUUUUAUUUAUCGAGAUGGAAGGUAAUGUCGGUAACGACCGACAGUAGCUCGACUAUUUUAUUUAUUUAACUGAGGUGAUGUCGGUUUGGACCGACAGUAAGUGUGAUAUUUUAAUUGCUUUUUUGUUAGUUAAUGUCGGUUUGGACCGCCAUUAUAUCAGAUUUCCAUGUCGCUUUUAAGCGACGUAAGCACCGAUGUCGCUUUUAAGCGAUGCUGUUAUUCUUUUUUAUUUUAUAAUACUUUCCUUCUUGGUGGCGGAUUAAGGGGGAUAAGCGACGCUAGUACCCUUUUUGUGACGGUCGUAUUGGAGUCGGUUUCACCAUGCGACAUUGCACGAUUUAAUGUCGGAUUUUUACCAAAAAUCCAACAGUAAGUGGUGUUUUUUGUCGGUUUUAUAGUGCCACUGAUAUCCCCUUUUGUAGUAGUGUUUUUUUGUGCUAAUUGCUUGUUUUGUUGAUUAGGGUUUAUUGUUUUGUUAGGAUUAAGGAAUGUUUAGGUAGGUGUCAGUGAUGUUACAAUCCAACGUGUUUGAGGCGUAGCGGAAGCGAGAACCUGCAUUUGUGCAGGUAGAACCUACUCAUGGAAACUACAUCCCUUGACAGAAACGAUGUAGCUGAGGCAUUGGAGUUUUAUGUUUUUGUUGUGCAUUGUGCUUAAAUGUUAGGUUUUGAGUUUCAACUAUACCCCUUAUCCUUUUUCGAUCAGGCAAAGGGUCUGAAAUAACUCAUAAAUUAGAGUGUUGUCAUCAGCUUCAUCUUGUGUUUACUGAUCAAGACUGGAGUUAAACAACAACACUACAUCUAAUCGCACUAAUUUUGUUUCUUUUAUUUUUUUGAUUCAUUUUAAAUAGAUUUUUUUAGCCAAAAUGAUUCCGAGAUUUGCUUAACUUCUCACUUUUGUUUUUGAGAUUUGAAAUCAAUAGAAGAGAGUGAAAAAAUAUGUUAAAUAAGGAUUAAAAUAACAAAAUUACCCUUAAUAUAAUAAACAAUAGGAGAAAAUGAUUUGACAAAAAUUAGGAGCAUUUUGUCAUUUUAUUCAUAUGUUAUUGAGAUUUUUUAUGUAAUGAUCAAAAUGAUUGAUUGUGGACAAAUUUAAAGAUCAAUUUUAUUGAUUUCAAAUUUCAAAGAUCAAAGUGAAGAAUUAUACAAAUAAUUUCUAAAACUUGACGGCACUAUCCUGUCUCUACUAGGGAGUACCCUAAAAAAGGAACCUUUCCUCUCCCCAGCCACAUGGACCCCUUCCUACCUGUUGUUCCUAGCGGUUCCGGGCCGAGCUGGAGUUAAAAAAAUAGGCAGGUAAAUUCCUGUUAUCUUUUUUCGUUGGAGGAUUUAGAUUGUGUAGUGAUUAAUUACUUUGCAGGAGAAUCCAGUGGUACAAACAAGGAUCGAAACAAGAAGAUGAUUGUUGGAGAAAAUGGCAUGGGGAAAUCAUUACCAGUUGUUCAAAUUCCUUAUGAUCUGCAACUGAAACAAGUUCUUGCUAAUGGUAAAAAAUGGAGCUUUGAAUGUCGGGGCUAUUCUUAUUUUACUUGAGGGGUUUGAAUUAGCCCCUCUCGGUAAGGUAGAGUGGUUCGCUUGAGUUGCCCAACCGCCCCUUAGCCCGAUGCUCAUGACGUGCUACGGAAUCUCCACCGUGCCGUGGUGUAACACCCACCCCCAUUUAUAAAAUUAUAUUUGUGUAAUUUCCCCUAAAUAUUUCUGAAUCUAUCAAUUUCAUCAUAUUUGUCUACCAAAUCAGGAUCCAAAGCCUUGGAUUCUUUUCUUCCUCACACUACCACGUGGCAGCACCCCAAGCAAUUUCUUAUUCUUCUCUCUCUGUCCCCCCCGGUGAACUCCUUCUUUCUUUUUCUUUUCUGUUUCUUGUUUGUCCUGUCUCUCUCCCUGUCGGCUCUCUCUCACAUCUCUCUUCUCUCCCUCUUCUCUGCACCGCACGCAUGCACCCAUCUCCCUGCGCGAGGAAGUCCAUCGUCAUCACCAUCUCGUCCUUCUCUCUCCCUUUGUCCCGUGCUGCGAACCUAGAAACCCGGAAAGGAACUCCGGCGAGUUUCUAUUUUUUCCGGUUAGGUAAGUCCCUAAUUAUCUCUAUUUCGUCCUUGAACCUUGCUGGAAUGAGUUUUAAAUGAGUGUAUUUCGUGUUUUUGGGAGGUUGUAGGACGAAUUCAAGCCGGGUGUAAGCACACCCAACUCCGGCGACCUCGGGGGUUUUUUCGGCCAUCUCCGGCCGUUCUACGACGAAAGGAAGGUAUAAAAACACUCCCCUCGUCUUGUUCUUCGUUUUGGUACCUGGAUCAGAGUCUAGGGUUGUGUGUGGUAGUCGGCCGGAGUUGUGAAGCUCCGGUGGUUGUGCUCCGGCGAGGCCAGGCCUCCCAGGCCGGUUCCAAUGGCAAGCGGGCCUUAGGCCCGAGUGGGGAGUCAAGCCCAAAAGCCCUAGCCCAAAUUCCUUUUAAUUGUUUUAGUUAAUUGUUAGUUGUUUUAGGACAAAAGGCCUUCGGGCCAUUAGAAUUAAGCCCCUAGCCCAAGCCCAAAACCUUUUUAGGUUUUAUUAUUUUUCUGAAUUAGAGUUGGGGCCCUUUUGGGCCAUUUUCUGUUAAGGGGGCUGAAAGCCCUUUCCCCAAAACCCUUAAGGCCUUUCGGCCCAGCCCAAAACCCCAAGCCCAGUUGACUUUGACCUUUGACCUGUUGACUGUUGACUCGGUCAACUGUUAUAGUUGACGUUGACUUUGACCGGUCAAAGGUCAACGUUGACUUUGUGAGUUGACUUUUCGGGGUUUCGUUCAGGACCUUUCCUAGGCUAAUUUCGACGUCCUGGACCCGUUUUUGAAGUCUGUUUCCCAAAUUCAAUCGUUUGAAUAAAGUUUGACCAAAGGUACUCCUUUAUGUGAAUAGGUGCAAUUAUUAACAGUGAUUCCGUUAUACCUUUUUGGUAUAGCUUUGCACCAUCAGUGUACGGUGAGUGGACCCCUUCAAAAGCAUGUUUUAAUAAUAGAAUUGCAUACAUGAAAAACAUGAUUUAAUACUUAUGUUUUAUGAAGUACUUUAUGAGAUUACAUGCUUACUAAGGCUAGAUUGAAUUAAUACAUAGGAAUAACAACGUUCAAGCCCUUUCCAUACACGGAAUUUUCUACGAAGAACAAUGUUCAAGCCCUUUCCAUACAUUGAAUUUUCUACAUAGACUUGUUCAUACAGAGGAAGAACAACGUUCAAGCCCUUUCCAUACAUUGAAUUUUCUGCAGACUUGUUCAUACAGAGGAAGAACAACGUUCAAGCUCUUUACAUACAUCGAAUUUUCUACAAAGACUUUGUCCAUAUGUGAAGGGUUGAAUAAUUGACUUAGUUGACUUGAAAUGAUCACCACAAAAAGGGCAUAUAGGUUGAGCUCCAGUAACAUCCAUACGGUAAAUCUUUGCCUGCCUGCUGAAUUCCUUGUACAGCCAUGAAUACCAAACCAAACCCAAAGUUCGUGUUUUCCGUUAUUUUAGUGUGUGUAUUUCUCGAGUCCCAUGUUUCCUUGCAGCUGACAGCUCAGCGACACUCUCCGGGCGAUCAAACCAUUGCUUCUGCUGGGGUGGGAUGUUUGAGCUAGGUUUCUUCAAACCAGGUCAGCUUUCAAACUACUAUAUAGGCAUAUGGUACUCCAAGCAAGUAGUAUCUGAGAUGACUGUUGUUUGGGUAGCAAAUAGGGAAACACCAGUUUCUGAUAUAUUUUCUUCGGCAUUGAGCAUCUUAGAUGGUAAUUUAGUUCUCUUUGACGAGUCCAAAACCCCGGUUUGGUCAACAAAUUUAAACUCCACCACCAAUUCUGGUUCUGUACAAGCAGUUCUUUUGGACAGCGGAAACCUUGUCUUGAUAGCCGGCUCUAGUAAUAAUACAUCAGAGCCUUUAUGGCAAAGCUUUGAUCAUCCAACCCAUGCUUUGCUACCAGGAGGUAAACUUGGAUUCAACAAAAUUACAAAUCAUACCCAAUUUCUCACUUCAUGGAAGAAUUUGGAGGAUCCUGCACCAGGUCUUUACUCUCUUGAGCUAGCUCCGGAUGAAAGCAAUUCAUAUAUCUUAUUGUGGAAUAGGUCUAGACAGUAUUGGACCAGCGGACCAUGGAAUGAAAGUUUGCGUAAUUUCAACAUGGUUCCUGAAUUGAGGCUAUUUAAUGACUUCAAUUAUAGUUUUGUUACGAAUGAGAACGAAAGUUAUCUCACAUAUUCUAUUAACAAUCCUAAAAUUGUAACUCGAGGCUUGAUGUCUGCCUCGGGACAGGUUCAGCAACUAACAUGGUUGGAGGCUUCCAAGCAGUGGAAUGUGUUUUGGUCUCAACCAAGACAGUGUGAUGUUUAUGCUUUUUGUGGGGCUUUCUCCAGUUGCAAACCCACAUCCUCGAACUACUGCAAAUGUUUGAAGGGCUUUGAGCCAAACCGACAGAGUGAUUGGGACUUGCAGAUUUAUUCCGGUGGAUGUUCAAGAAGAACCAGUGUUAAGUGUGGGAAUGCUACGGGAGACGGGUUUCUAGAAAAAAAUAGCAAGUCCUUCCUUGAAAAUAGCCAAUAUGAACCAGCUCCUAGUUUCGAAAGUUGUAGAUCAGCCUGCUUAAAUGAAUGCCAGUGCACUGCUUAUGUUUAUGACAGCAGCAAUGGAUGUUCAAUAUGGCAUGGAGAUGUCUUGAAUCUGCAAGAAUUCGAAGCAAAUGAUGGUGAUGGAAGAAUUUUAUACAUCAAAGCUGCAGCUUCCGACAUUGAGAAAAAACGUAAUAAGAGAAUGAUUAUUCAUGUCUACUUGGAGCCGUUAAUCUUGAUGUUGUCCCGAUGAUCGUUUUCUUCUCUUUGCAGGUGUAAUUAAGUUGUCCCCUUUGAUUGCAAUAGUCUCAACAAUCACAGGUUUGCUUGUUGUCAUUUUGGGCUAUUUCUUAUGGAAGAAAACAUUGGGAACAAAAAGUGAAGUUGCUGCUGGAGGUGAAAUGAAUGAUGCAGAACUGCCGAUCUUUGGUUUAAAGGCUAUAAUAGCUGCUACAAACAACUUCGCUGAAGCUAAUAAACUCGGAGAGGGAGGAUUUGGCCCUGUCUACAAGGUGACACUUCCACUUUGUACUCUAAAUACUAAUACAUUUGUCUCCUCAUGCACACUCCUUGUUUAUUUAUGACCCUUGGAUUGAAUAAUUUCAAGGAGAUGAAUCACAGGACAAAGUACACAUGGGUUUGCAGAAGGAGAAAAAAGGGUGUCUGAAAAUAAUUUCUCCUUUCAUAAACAUGACCGUAAAAGGGAAUCUUCUUCUCAACACAUUGAUUGCUUGUCCACUAGCCUUUCAUGAGUACUUCCAUUAGACAUGCCUUUCAUAAUUUUGUCUAGUCCACUAAUUGUCCAUUAGUCUUUCUUUACUAUUUCCAUUAGUUGUUGUCCGCUCCUUUGGCUCCUAUAAAGAGCAUCUCCAUUGUAAAUCAUGAUAGUGAAAUAUAACAUAUAUUCUAUACUCACCUUAAUUUGGUAUCAAGAGCAACAAAGCUCCAUCGAGCAAUUUUUUUUUCCCGAUCCUCAUGGCUGAAUCCACCAACUCACCCCCUUGCCCACUCCUGUCACCAUUAACGCUGCUGCUCAGUUACCUCUAAAACUCACACCCACCAACUUUCCUUCCUGGCGAGCUCAAUUCAAUGCCCUGCUUCUUGGGUAUGACCUGAUGGGUUACAUUGAUGGAUCAAAACCACGUCCUGCUGCCUCCUCUACUGUGUGCUACACCUUCUGGAUUCGUCAAGAUCAGCUGCUACUACAUGCUAUCUUAGCUUCUGUCUCUGAACAGAUUAUAUCUCUCAUUUCCUCCUCUAAAACAUCCAAGGAGGCUUGGGACAAGCUCACCAAGCUCUAUGCCAACAAAACACGCUCUCGGGUUCUCAACCUCAAAGAGCGUCUUACGUUCAUGCGUCGUGAUACACAACCUGUGUCAGUUUUUCUACAAGCUAUCAAAGCUAUCAUUGAUGAGCUUGCCAUCAUUGAUUCUCCACUCUCCGACGAUGAUGUUGUUCUACACGUCCUCAAUGGUGUUGGACCUGCCUUCAAAGAAAUCGUUGCCGUUGUUCGAGCUAGCGAUACCUCCAUCUCCUUUGAAAAUCUGUAUGACAAACUCAUUGAACAUGAAACUUUCCUCCAACGGGAUGCACCACCAGCUGCUGUUACUCCUAUGACUACCCUUGUUGCUCAAGCUCCCCGCUCCUUCCAACGUGACUUCAGGGCCACACAAGCCUCCCAACAACGUCCAACAAAUACCAUCUACAACUCUAACCGUGCUAACCACCACAACUCCAAUCAUCGUCGUUCUACUAUGGGGUAUCGUGGUUUUUGUCAAUGGUGUGGUACUCAAGGGCAUAGUGCAAAACGCUGCCCUCAACUUUCUUCCGCUCCACCCACGGUCAACCACACCACUAUCCGCCCCUCAACAUCAUCUCCUUGGCUGCUCGACUCGGGUGCCUCUCACCAUGUCACUUCUGACUCCAGGAACAUCCCGGACUCCACUACCUAUGAUGGUCCUGAUCAGAUUGUUAUUGGUAAUGGAACAGGUUUAAGUAUUACACAUGUUGGUUCCACAUCACUCUCUUCUUCCUCUACCACCCCAUUUCACUUAAAUGAUGUCCUGUGUGUUCCUUCCAUUUCCCGUAAUAUUAUUUCCAUUGCCAAAUUUAAUAGACAAAAUGCCACCUCUAUUGAAUUUUUUCCUGAUUCCUUUCUUGUCAAGGAUCUCAACACGGGAGCGGCACUUCUUCGAGGCCCGAAUAAGAACGAUACAUAUGAGUGGCCGUGCUUGAUGCCUCAAAAACAAGUUAUGAGCAGUGUGAUGGACUCCUCCAAUGUGUGGCACCGUAGGCUUGGUCACCCCAACCAUCGAACCUAUCUUCAAAUCCAACGUACCUCCUCCAUUCCUAUGUCUUCAACUCAUUCUGUUUGCACUUCUUGUCAUUGCAAUAAGAGCCACAAGCUCCUGUUUGGUCAUUCUACGCUUGUUAGUAAGCGUCCCCUUGAACUAAUUUAUAGUGAUGUAUAGGGUCCUGCUCCCUAUUUAUCUACUGAUGGUUUUUCAUACUAUGUUAUCUUUGUCGAUCAUUUCACGAAAUAUAUUUGGUUUUAUCCCAUGAAACACAAAUCCGAUGUUUUCUCAAUCUUCACAACCUUUAAAGCUCUUGUAGAAAACUACUUCCACACCAAAAUAAUCACCUUCUACUCUGACGGAGGAGGAGAAUAUGUUAAACUCAAACAUUUUCUUUCCACAAAUGGCAUCACUCACCUCACCACUCCUCCACAAACUCCUGAACACAAUGGUGUUACUGAACGCCGCCACCGCCAUGUUGUCGAAACAGGGUUAACCCUUCUCCACCAAGCAUCCUUACCCCUAACUUAUUGGUCAUAUGCUUUCAAAACUGCUGUGUAUCUUAUUAAUAGGAUGCCCACUCAUGUUCUCAAUAAUAUCUCUCCAUACAAAGCUCUCUUUGGUGAUCUUCCUAACUACAUUAAGCUUCGUGUGUUUGGUUGCUUAUGUUUCCCUUGGUUAAGACCCUAUAAUUCCAACAAGCUUCUUCCUCGAUCUCGUCCAUGUCUCUUUCUUGGUUACUUCUCUACUCAAAGUGCUUAUCUAUGUCUUAAUCUCCCUUCCCGUCGUAUGUUUGUUUCCCAUCACGUUCGAUUUGAUGAAAACACUUUUCCUUUUUCUUCUCGUGACUCCGUCAUCCCUUCAGUUCCUUCCCCCGACUCCACUGCAUGGUCUGCUGUCACAGCCGUCAUCUCCAUUCCUGCUCACAUUGCUGACGUGCCACCAGUUCCAUCACACACCUCUUCUCAGCAUGCUGCCACUCAAACGCCUUCGGAGGUCUCGGAGUUGUGUCUCUCCCCUGCACCAUCACCAUCUGCGACUGCUCACCCCCCAUCCCCACAUCAUCUCAUACCCACAUCUAUCAUUCCUUUACCCCCACCACCACCACCAAAUAAUUUCAACCAUCACCCCAUGACCACUAGAGCCAAAAACAAUAUCUUUAAACCUAAACAACUUUGCACUGCCACCAAACACCCACUUCCUUCUCCCAUUGAACCAACAUGUGUUUCUCAGGCUAUCAAAGAUCCUCUUUGGCGUGCAUCAAUGUCCGACGAGUUCAAUGCGUUAAUCCGCAAUGGCACAUGGGAGCUUGUUCCUCCUCAACCUUCACAGAAUCUUAUUGGGUGCAAAUGGGUCUUCCGCAUCAAAAGACAUUCUGAUGGCAGCAUUGAUAGGUACAAAGCACGCCUUGUUGCUAAAGGCUUUCACCAACGUCCUGGCGUGGAUUUCUUAGACACCUUCAGUCCAGUUGUCAAACCCAUCACCAUCCGUAUUGUUCUUCAUUUGGCUCUCACUCAUGGUUGGCCUCUUCGUCAAUUAGACGUGAACAAUGCCUUUUUGCAUGGAUCACUCUCUGAAGAUGUUUACAUGGUACAACCCCCCGGGUUCGGUGAAUCUACUGUUCCAACACAUGUAUGCAAACUUCGCAAAGCUUUAUAUGGCCUCAAGCAGGCACCCCGAUCAUGGUAUAAGGAGUUGAGCACCUUUUUGCUCAAUCAAGGAUUUGUCAAUGCCAUCUCAGACACCUCUCUCUUUAUUUUUCGUCAGGAUAAUGAUGUGAUCUUCCUUCUAGUUUAUGUUGAUGAUCUUGUUCUUACAGGAAAUAAUUCCAGUCUCCUCUCUACGUUUAUUCAAGCCUUGGCAAAUCGUUUUUCUGUCAAAGAUUUGGGGAACCUUCAUUAUUUCCUUGGGGUUGAAGUGAUACCCACCACCACGGGUUUGUUUCUUUCUCAACAUAAAUACAUCCAUGAUCUUCUCGCUAAAGCUAAAAUGGAUGGUGCUAAGGAUGUGACCACACCAAUGGCUACCUCUACUCUUUUGAUUCUCUUUGAUGGCUCUCCUCUCACUGAUGCUACUACCUUUCGACAACUUGUUGGAGGUCUCCAAUACCUCAGUCUCACCCGCCCUGACAUCUCAUUUACCGUCAACAAACUCUCACAGUUCAUGCAUCGACCAACUGAGUCUCAUUGGCAGGCCUUGAAACGUCUCCUCCGCUAUCUAAAAGGCACUAUUUUUCAUGGCAUUCUCUUCCGCUGCAGUGCCUCAUCUCGUCUAUAUGCCUUCUCAGACGCUGACUGGGCUGGUGAUCGUGAUGACCGUAAGUCUACCACGGGUUAUGUCAUCUAUUUGGGAGGCAACUUAAUCUCUUGGAGCUCUCGCAAACAACGUUCUGUCGCUCGAUCGUCCACAGAAGCAGAAUACCGCGCCAUAGCCUCUACUACUGUUGAACUAGCUUGGCUUCAAUCCCUUCUCCAUGAGCUUGGUGUCUCCUCAAUGGAUAAGCCAACCAUUUCCUGCGACAAUAUUGGGGCAACUUUUUAUAGUGUCAAUCCUGUUCUUCACUCUCGCAUGAAGCACAUUGAACUUGAUUUUCAGUUUGUUCGUGAUCGCGUCAAUCGCGGGCUUCUUCAAGUUUCACAUGUUUCUACUCAGGAUCAGCUUGCAGACGUCCUCACAAAAGCUCUUCCUCGUCCACGCUUCCAAUUGUUACGAUCCAAGAUCGGUGUCUCUGACGGGACCACCAUCUUGCGGGGGCGUAAAAGGGAAUCUUCUUCUCAACACAUUGAUUGCUUGUCCACUAGCCUUUCAUGAAUACUUCCAUUAGACAUGCCUUUCAUAAUUUUGUCUAGUCCACUAAUUGUCCAUUAGUCUUUCUUUACUAUUUCCAUUAGUUGUUGUCCGCUCAUUUGGCUCCUAUAAAGAGCAUCUCCAUUGUAAAUCAUGAUAGUGAAAUAUAACAUAUAUUCUAUACUCACCUUAAUUGACCGUUCUUUUGUACUUCUCUAACAAUUUUUUCUCUUGAGCGAUUUUCUUCCUCUAUACAGGGAAUUUUGGCUGAAAAUCAAGAAGUAGCCAUAAAAAGGUUAUCAAAAAAGUCAGGCCAAGGACACGAGGAGUUCAUGAAUGAGUUAAAACUUAUUGCCAAGCUCCAGCAUACCAAUCUCGUUAGGCUCCUGGGUUGCUGUAUUGAAGAGGAGGAAAUGAUAUUGAUCUACGAGUACAUGCCCAAUCGGAGCUUGGACAAACUUUUGUUUGGUAUAUACAUGCUAAUGACUUAUUAAUUCUUUCUUUCUGCACAUUGUUUUCCUUGUGUACAAAUGCCAUGUACUGCAAGAUCAAAUGCACUGUGUCCAAAUAUUUUAUCUAAAAUGAAAAGAAAAACACUUGCUCAUCUUUCUUCAUGGUUUGUCCAAUCAGAUGCAUCAGAAAAAAGAGAAUUAGAUUGGGGAAGACGUUUUCGAAUUAUAGAAGGCAUUGCUCAAGGAGUACUUUAUAUCCACAAGUACUCCAGAUUGAAAAUCAUCCACAGGGACCUAAAAGCAAGUAACAUACUGUUGGAUGGAGCCUUGAACCCCAAAAUUUCAGACUUUGGAAUGGCAAGGAUUUUCGGGAUAAAUCAGACUGAAGCAAAUACCAAUAGGGUUGUUGGCACAUAGUAAGUCUACAUACAUCUGGUACAUGUUUUCAUUGAAGUAAUGUUCUAUUGCUUACUUCUUUACAUACUGUCAAUUCAUGUGCAGUGGCUACAUGUCACCCGAAUAUGCGAGAUAUGGUCAUUUCUCUGAGAAAUUAGAUGUAUUCAGCUUCGGAGUGUUGUUGUUGGAGAUUGUGAGCGGAAAGAAGAAUGCUGCUUUUUAUCGCCUUGAACAUUCACCAACUCUUGCUGGAUGGGUAAGUACUGAAAAACUAUUCCAGCUAAUGAUCAUUCUGUUUUUAAGCCCUUCAAAUUCGCAAAUGACCAUACGUUCAACAUUUUAAUUAGGCAUGGGAGUUGUGGAAAGACGGAAGAGGAAUGGAGGUGAUUGAUGAAUCAGUAAGGGAAACAUACCGGCUCGAUGAAGCUUUGAAGUGUAUCCAUGUAGGGUUUUUGUGUGUUCAAGAAGCUCCAACUGAUCGGCCAACAAUGUCUUCGGUAAUUCGUAUGCUGCAGAGCAAUGAAUCUACAUCUCUUCCACCUUUCAAAGAACCUGCCUUUUCAACACACAAAAAUUCCAAUCCUGUUUGUUCUUCUCAAAUGCCUACCAUUUUUUCCUACAACACAGUCACCAUGACUUUGCCAGAAGGUCGAUAGGCGUUGGAGAGCGGUGACUAGCAAGCAGUUGAGAAAAUAGUAUAGUAUAUUAGAAUAAACACCCCAACAACUAGCAGUUUUAUACAACACUCAAGGGGUUCAAUUACACAUUACCGGAUAUGUUUGUGCAGUUUAUGGUUUUUGCCCAUCCAAACUAAACCUAUAAUAGUAGCAUAUUAGAUUUAUGUUAUGUAUUUUUCAACUGCAAAUAUGGGCGUAACCAUACUUCAAGAUAUGUUCCCGCUGCACCCCUUGGUGCAACUGUAUUUAUAUUAAAUUAAAAUGGAAUGUCACUUGUAUCAAAAGAAUAAAGUGGGUAUUUUUUUUACAUCUUCCAACUUUCAGAAGACAAAAACUGAAAACAAAAUUGGUCUAGAACAAAGGAUUUUACGUUAGUAUAUCCAUAAUUGGCAACAUGGGUUUUCCUAUGGUUGUAAUAGAAAAUUUGAAAUCAUCAUAUAGAAUCUACCGAAUGCAAGUUUGGCAACUAGAACUAAAAGUAAACUAUGUCCCCAGUCAGUUUUUUUAUCGACGAGGAUUCGAACUUAAUGCCUCUUUUAACAUUGAAAAGCAAAAUAUCAGUAGAACACUUGAUUCGCCUGAUCAUGUUAAACUCAAGCUUUGUCAAGCUGGAACACAUGCACCAGUCUGCUCGAACUAUAGAGGAACUGAAUGCACCCUGCAGAUCAAGUCAAUAAUAAAUCAAUUAAACAAACAGUUAGUGAAUAUCACUUCGAUCUAGAAAAUUUAUGGACCUGGAUAGUUUCACUUACAAGCUACAACUACAAAACAAACCACCGUAAGAGUGUGGAUCAACCAACGAAUGCGCCAUUUAAUAUCAUAUCAUCAAUUUGAGUUCAAUUAUCACCAAAGUAAGAGUCAGUUUGGUUACAAUUAGCACUAGUAAGGACAUCAGUUUAAUCUCGAACUCCGCCGCCAGUUUCGGCAUUAUUGUUCUCCACAACCUUGAAACCCAUGGUUGUGCUGAUUCUUUAUCGGGAUGAGCCCGAAAACACAAACAGAGAAAAGAAAAAAAGUUAAGAUUAAACUUAUGUUUGAGAGAGACAACAUGAGUAUGGUAUAUACAUGGAGGAAGUACAAAUAAAAUGUGUCAGUUUUGGGGCUUAGUUUUUUUGCUUCAAGUUUCUUCUUUUGAGUUUCUCUCGUACUUGUUUUCUUUUCUGAGAUGAAACCAUAGACGUGAAAACCAAGGGGAAAUAAGAAGAAAACUGUUUGGCUUCCUAAUAUGAUUGUUGAUUCUCUUACAAGUUUUUUCAAUUGGCUUGGGUUACUUGUAAACUCAUAUUCUUUCUUUUUUUCUUUUGUUCUUCAGUCAUCAAAGAUUCAUAUUGAUUCACGAUAUGAAUGGUUCAACUGCUAAUAACAAUUUAGUUUAGCGACACUUCGUCUUUAUAAUUCUAAAAGUCGAGUUCUUGUCUCAUGGCUUAAAUCGCUAAAUAGGAAUGUUGUCGGUAAGGUUGGUGGCAUUGUUUCUUGUUACUUUUUUCUGCCUGAUUUGGUUUCCCGUAUAUUUGGGUCCCUACAAUUGUGAUGUUACCCAUUUUGAUGCAAAAUGGAGGCAGGGUACUUAUGCUUCUUGUUUUGGAUAGAGAGUCUCAUCUUAUCCAACUAAACGUGUAAUGUGUUGAUUUUUAUUGAAUAGAGAUUUGCUUUUUAAAAACGUAAGCAACUCCAUGAGUGAGUGAUACCACUAAAACUAUACACACAAUGCAAAAGAGAACAUCUUGUUAGUUUGGCAAGUAAAUCCUGUUUCAAUCAAAAGAGAGAGAUAAUGUGGUUUAGUAAGCAUUGGAUAGAUCAUGCUUGUGGGAAUGGUAGGUGGUCUUGCUCAUUGGUCAUUGCUUGCUUCAUUCACUGAUUUUUCAAACAAUUAUUGCGUGGAACGGAAACAUCAGGUUAAUUGUUGUGUGUGUCAAUGUUAUGUUAAUUUUGAUAAAAUUACAUGUACAUGUGUUGUAGGAAUCAAAUUGAUGAACAUCAUAAAUAACACAGAGCAGGACGAUAAUUGAUAACACUACGUAAUCCUCUAGCUAUUAACGUUAGAACAUUUCCCUAAAAUCACGUCGUUCAUCACGUUUGCAUCCACACAUAAACAAACGUGAAAGACGCGACAUUGAUUGAUAUAAAAUGCAGAGGAUGAUAUUGAUGACUCAAAGGAUAAACCGCAAAAUAAUUGGAUCACACAAUGACAAAACUGUAUAGUACCAAGUGUUGUAAAGGUUAGUUGUAGGAUGUAGCCUACUAACCACAUGGAGUAAUACUAAGGAAAUUAAAUAUAUAGAUUAAAUUUGUAAACUGACUGAUGUAUUAUCAAUAGGAAAUAAACACACUUAUCAACGUUUAAGUAAUAAUCUAAUCAUCAACUUUCAUAUUAUUUAGUUUACAAAUUUAAUCUUCUUAGUAUUAUUUCAAGUUACUGUCCGAGGGAGUGGAGUGGGACCAACUCGGUUACCUCAUCGGUUCAUCCUGCAAAAUAACUGAACUUAACAAGUGCCACGCGUCAGUUAGAUAAUGACUAAUUUCAUUUUAUUUUUGUUAAUUAAUGAAUAUUACAGUUGCUCCGCAACUCACUCUUUUCUUGUUGAGUGACUUGAGGAAGCAGUCUCGUCUCACUUGAUCAGCCCCUCAAUUCUGGUCAACUUUUCCCAAAUGACGAUCUUGUCCUUCUUCACCAGAGCUUCAAGAGCUUUCAAUGGCCACCCUUCUGCCUCCAAGCUUCUGGUGCUUUGUACUAUCAGGUUCUCAAUUUUCUUGCUUACCAUGAAUUGGGUUGAAGUAUUUUCUAUCAUAACAUAUAAAGACACAUUCUUUUUUAGUUUUGGUUAUUUUCCUAUGAAGUAUCAGUUUUUUUCCUAGUUUAAGCAAAAUGUCAGCUCAUUAACUCUGAAUCUAAACUUUUCCUUGAAUCUCAGUUUAUCAACCACCAGACACUAGACUUUGUUUGGUUACUGAGAAAAUAGACUGCAAAUGUUUGUUUUGGAGUUUUAGCUAUGCUGAAUUUAUUCAAGGGAGAUUUUGGACGGUCAUUGGUUAUGAAUAUUUUUUUAUUGAAAUCUUCUUUGUUUUUAAUUUUUGAUCGAUGUUACUGAAAUUAAUGUGAUAAUUUAUUUAUAUGUACGUUACUAUAUUUUUUUAAAUUAAAAAUUAGAAAUUUUAGUUUUUAUUGUGGGAUUAAAAAUAUUAAAAAAAUAAAUAUACUAUUGUGUGUGUGUAUAUAAACAUGGAUACAUUCAUCAAAAUUAACCAAAAAAUUUAUUGUAUCAAAACUGACACACCCCAAUCCUAGAAUCAAGGCGUGAUGGCCGUCACGUGAGUGUGACGUAGCCAAAAGUGCGACGUGGAAGCAAAAGAUAAGAGAAAUAUGCAGGAAUUUAAAACAACUACUAGCAAUAAUAUCCAACUAGCAUGAUAAAGUGAGUUUAACAGUAAAACACACAAUUUCAGAGCGUAAAUACUAGGUGCAGUCAAGUAGGACUAUAAUUAAAUUACAACACCCGCAAGUGAGUCCUACAUGCAGGACGUAUGUCAGAACGCCGAAGAGAACCUUGUGAGCCACCAAUUGCUAACUAGAACCUGGAGGGGCGUAAAACAAAGUUGAGUGGGUCAGUAAAACCAAAGUUUUCUAAAACAUUUCAUUUAAAACAUUUCUAACCCCUCACUGUAAAACUUGUAUACUUUCCCAGAAAAUAACAUAAUAGCAUAAUAUUUGCUCAAAUUGCUCAAAACAUCAAUUUUAUCAAAAUCCAGUAAAUAUGCCAAGCAAUAAUGUCAACGAUUGAAAUAUGGAUGCAUCAAUAUGACAGGUGAUAUAAUGAAAUAACCGGAGACCCUUCGGCUGGCCCUGUACGGUUCAUUCUAUAGCUCAUUAUCCGACCCAACCGGAGUCACCACAGUGACCUAUACGGCCCUACUCUGCACAUCAAUCGGAACCACCUAAGGUAGUCUGUACGAUAGAAAAGGUGUACGAAUACGCUCUAGUGCUUCUCUCAUCAAUCAUCGGCGCGCAUAAUCUAAAGUCACCUACUAGUCGGAACCACCUCUAGCGAUCUAUACGACUAGCAUGUCGGAACCCUCACAUGGUCUGUACGACAUUCACCUACUUGGAUCCAAGGUGAGCGUGCGGUGCGGUGAAUAAUAUAAGCACUAACACCAAGGGUGCAAGUUAUGAGCUCUCAAUGCAAUUCACAUUAUAAUAAAUCAUAUAAAUAACGAGAAACUUAUCUGUACGUCCACAGCACCAAUUCAUAUAUAUAAAUGCAUCAAUUAUCAAUUCAUAUAUCUCAUAGUAUGCAUGCAUGACAUUUUAAAACGUAUUUUCAUAUAAUUUCAUUUUCUGGGAAAAUCAAUAGUAUAUAGGUAAUACGAAAACAAAACUGCCCACUCACUGGUAAGUCGAUGGGUCGUAACCCCCGUGACGUCCCUAGAUGUGCUUGUCCUCGGGAUAGGUGUCACCUAUAUGUGAAACAACUAUAAAAAUGUUAAUUAAAACACAUAACCGACAAAUCGAAAUAACUUCUCACACGGUGCUCAAUUUGGGUAUGUGAAUAUACCACAUCGACCUACUCGUCGUCACGAACGUCGAGGAAUUUUUAAAAUAAUUUUUUGACGUGGCAUGCGCCAGGGCAGGCACGGGGACACGUGCCCCCCACGCGCGUCUUCUUCCCUGGGUUCGCCGGACUGUGUUUUCCGGUAGCCGGAAAACUGGGGAUUUUUCAAUCCCCUUGUUCUCCUUCAUUUUUCACCCAUUUUCUUCAUAUUUUAUGUCAAAAUGAAGCCCUAAGCAUGUAGUUUCACAAUAUACUACUUUUAAGGCUCUAAAAACAACUAAAUCCCACAGGAAAACUUCCAAGAAAAACCGGCCAAAAUCGAACCUAGUGAUUCCAACGUCCAAAACCUUCAAACGAAGCACUCCGAGCUUCCUUGGGACCUCACUAAGCUCACUAUAAGCUUAGAAUUCCCUGAAAUGCAACAUAUCACGAUUGCAUGAAUAGUGACAUAAAAUGGGGGUUCGGGUUCCACGUGAUUUCGAAGGUUUCACUUCCUAAAAGUAGCACCAAACGACUCAGGAGGUCGAAAGGAUGAAGAACCAUACCUUUUUGGCUUCGAUCCGUGGAGUUUUGAUGUCCUUGGUCCAUGUCCGUACAAUUUCGAAGGGUGAGGGAGAUAUAACGGGGAAGAGAAAGGGAAAGCACAGGGGAAAGGGAGAGAGAGAAGACUGAGUGUGUGUGGUCCACCCUAAACCUUAACCACACAAAUAACAACCCAUUAAGCUAAUAAAAUUUUCCAAACUUAGGAAAAUAAACUUUAUGAACAAAGUAUGUCACACACUCACCUUAGUAACGUCAAGGGCAGCAUCGUCAUUUCACGUCCUCGAAAUAUAUAUUUCCGGAACGGGCUGUGACAAAAACAUGGAUACAUUCUUCAAAAUCACAAAAAAAGAAAAAGAUAUUAGGCUUUAUAAUAUUAGUAAAUUUCUUCAAUUAAACUUGACAUGAAUACAUUUUAAAAUCAAAGAAAAAAGAAUGUACCCAUAUAAGUUUAAAAAUAGAUUAGAAAAAAAUUGAAUAUAUUUUAUAUAAAAAAAGGUACAUUUUACAUAUAACAAAUUGGUAUAUUUUAGAAUGAGUACAUUUUAAGAUUAAAAAGUUUUAUAUGAAUGGGUACAUAUAAUUAGCAUGGGUACAUUUAGCAAAAUAAAAAGUACAAAUACAAAAAAUAUAUAUGGGUACAAAUACAAAUAAAAUUUUAAAAGAAUAUAGGCACAAAAAGAAAUUAAUAUAUAGGUACAAAUUAAAACUGAAAAAAAAAUGGUACAAGUUAAAAAAGAAUUACAAAUUAAAAAUGGAUACAAACUAAAACUAAAAAUAUAUGAUAAAAAAUUUAGUCAUAAAUAUAAAUAUACUAAUUGUAACAUUUUUAACAUUAAAUGAAUAUAUUUAGAAAUAAAAAAUAUUUUAUUAUUGAAAUAAUUAAUGAUGUUAUUAAUACCAAGGACCUUGAUAAAAAAUUGAAAAGGAAUAAGAUUUUAAUCAAUGAAGUGGAAAAAAGAAAGGAUGAGAACCUAAUUUCUCCUGUAUUUAAUUUGCUCUCUGUUUUCUCAGCAACAAAACAUGCCUUUUGAGGUUGUUAAUUCUUUUCAUGUGAUCUUUCACUGUGGAAAAGAAUCCUCACCUCUUAAGUUACCCUUUUGCUUGAUUAGCUUGAAGGCCUACAAUCAGUUUACAUAUUCUGUGACAUCCCACAUCGCUCAGGGAAAUGAUCCUUAAAUGUAUAUUCCUAUCCUUACCUAGCACGAGGCCUUUUGGGAGCUCAUUGGCUUCGGGUUCCGUAGGAACUCCGAAGUUAAGCGAGAAGGAGCCAGAGCACUCCUAUGAUGGGUGACCCACUGGGAAGUUGCUCGUGAGUUCCCAAAAACAAAACCGUGAGGGCAUUGUCGGGGCCCAAAGCGGACAAUAUCGUGCUACGGUGGUGGAACAGGCCCAGGAUGUGGUGGUCCGCCCCGGGCAGGGAUGUGACAAAUGGUAUCAGAGCCAAUCCCUGGCCGGAAGUGUGCCGACGAGGACGUCGGGCCCCUAAGGGGGGUAGAUUGUGACAUCCCACAUCGCCCAGGGAAAUGAUCCUUAAAUGUAUAUUCCUAUCCUUACCUAGCACGAGGCCUUUUGGGAGCUCAUUGGCUUCGGAUUCCAUCGGAACUCCGAAGUUAAGCGAGAAGGAGGCUAGAGCACUUCCAGGAUGGAUGACCUACUGGGAAGUUGUUCGUGAGUUCCCAGAAACAAAACCGUGAGGGCGGGGUAGAGGCCCAAAGCGGACAAUAUCGUGCUACGGUAGUGGAGCGGGCCCGGGAAGUGAUCCGCCCCGGGCCGGGAUGUGACAUAUUCCAAGUACCUUGACAUAGAUCUACUACUAAAAGGGUCAUGUUGAAGAUUUACAAUAGUUUACCAAAGCAUGUGUUUUUACCUUUUUCUUUUGUUUGAAUUGUUCGAUCCACAUUGAUAAGAUCAAAAUCUGUAAGCCCUUAAUCAACCUACAAGUAACACAGAGGAUAGAGAGGAAGAGGGAAGGAAGAUGAAGGAGCAGAGCUCCAGAUAUUUUUGUAUUUAAUUUUUUUCUUGUAAAUUAUGUUCUGAUUUGUUUCCUGGGAGCUAGGCUCCUUUUAAAUAGUUAACUAGGAUUAGGGUUUCUCAUCUUUGUUUUUAAAUCACCAUUUUCUAAUCUUUGUUUUUAAAUAGUUAACUAGGAUUAGGGUUUCUCAUAAAUUGUUUUAAAUAAUGCCAGCGGAAAACGACCUUGCUUGAGCCGUUUAUACUACAACAACCUUGUUCUCUUGCAAGUAUUUUGUUUGAUUUUAUCCCUACUUUUGUAGGUGGUAAAAUACCUAUCAAGUGACGCCACUAAAACUAUGCACACAAUACAAAAGAGAACCUCUUGUUAGUUUGGCAGGUACAUUAUGUUUCAAUCAAAAGAGAGAGAGAUAAUGUGGUUUAGUAAGCAUUGGAUAGAUCAUGUUUGUGGGAGUGGUAGGUGGUCUUGUUCAUUGCUCAUUGGUCAUUGCUUGCUUUAUUACCUGAUUUUUCAAAAAAUUAUUGCAUGGGAUGGAAACAUUAGGUAAAUUGUUGUGUGUGUCAAUGUAUGUCAAUUUUGAUAAAAUUACAUGUACAUAUGUUGUAUGAGUCAAAUUGAUGAACAUCAUACGUUAUACAGUGCAUGACGACAAUUGAUAACACUACGUAAUACUCUAGCUAUUAACAUUAAAACAUUUCCCUAAAAUCACAUCGUUCAUCACAUUUGCAUCCACACAUAAGCAAACGUGAAAGACGCGACAUUGAUUGAUAUCAAACGUAAUACUAAGGAGACUAAAUUUACAAAUUAAUUAAUGUGUCACCAAUAUGAAAUGAGCAUGCUUACCAACGUUUAACCAAUAAUUUAAUCAUCAACUUCCAUAUCAUUUAGUUUAUAAAAUUUAGUUUACAAUUUAAUCUCCUUAGUAUUACUUCAAUAAUCACGUUACUGUCCGAGGGAGUGGAGUGGGACCAACUCGGUUACCUCAUCGGUUCAUCCUGUAAAAUAACUAAACUUAACAAGUGCCACGUGUCCGUUAGAUAAUGACUAAUUUCAUUUUAUUUUUGUUAAUUAAUGAAUAUUACAGUUGCUCCGCAACUCACUCUUUUCUUGUUGAGUGACUUGAGGAAGCAGUCUCGUCUCACUUGAUCAGCCUCUCAAUUCUGGUCAACUUUUUCCAAAUGACGAUAUUGUCCUUCUUCACCAGAGCUUCAAGAGCUUUCAAUGGCCGCCCUGUAGCCUCCAAGCUUGUGGUGCUUUGUACUAUCAGGUUCUCAAUUUUCUUGCUUACCAUGAAUUGGGUUGAAAUAUUUUCCAUCAUAACAUAUAAAGACACAUUCUUUUAAGUUUUUUUUAUUUUUCGAUGAAGUAUCAGUUAUUUUCCUAGCUUAAGCAAAAUGUCAUAGAUCUACCACUAAAAGGGUCAUGUUGAAGAUUUACAAUAGUUUACCAAAGCAUGUCUUUUUACCUUUUUCUUUUGUUUGAAUUGUUCGAUCCACAUUGAUAAGAUCGAAAUCUCUAAGCCCUUAAUCAACCUGCAAGUAACACAGAGGAUAGAGAGGAAGAGGGAAGGAAGAUGAAAGAGCAGAGAUCCAGAUAUUUUUGUAUUUAAUUUCUUUCUUAUAAAUUCUGUUCUGAUUUGUUUCCUGCGAGCUGGGCUCCUUUUAUACAGACUCCACUCCUUAAAAUGCCAGCUGGCAUAUUUAGCAAUCCUUAAUAAUAAAAACUAACGCAUAAAACAUUCAAUUAAAUCUCUAAAUCACCGAUUAAGACAAUCACAAUUGAGACCUAUUUUGGGUUCAUAACACACAUUGUCAUAGGCAAGCAAAUGUAGACCAAGUGCAUUAUUUCUAAAAAAAAUGAAGAAAACUUCGCUCGCUUGACCUCAUUCUCGAUCAUAGUUUUUCUGUUUUGAUUUCCGUCUGGAUUAUUGGAGUAGUGGUAGGUCUCGUGGCGUAUGCAGAAUUGCAGUCCAACGUUGGCCCUCCUAUUGUCGAUCCUAAUCAUAAGACAAAUUAAUGAAGAUUGGUCUCAAAUCGAGACAUGCAUUAUCGACUGCUCUUUUCUUUCUUAAACAUUAUUUACUUGAUCUACAAGUCGUGUGUGUUUAACUUUUAUGUCAUGGCAGAGAAAUGGAGAGAUCCAAUAUUGGGAAGCAGAAUGCGUCAAGAUUGAUGCAGCAAAAAAAUGUUUCCAUGCGGGCUAAUUUUGACCAAAACUUUGGUGGGAAAUAAGGAAUUUUCCCUUGAAUAUGACUACUUGGUCAUAGCAUUAGGAGCACAAGUGAACACUUUUAACACCCCUGGUGUAAAGGAGAACAGUCAUUUUCUGAAGGCAAGUCCGAUCCCUUGCGCAGGGAGAACCUACUCGUGGAAACUAUGAUCGCUUGACAGAAACGAUGUAGCUGAGGCAUUGUAAUCAUAGUUCUAGGAUUCGUGUUUUUGUUGGUUUUUUUGUGUUGAAAUGUUGGUUUUGAGUUUCAACUCUACCCUUACCUUUUUCGAUCGGGUGUAGGGUCUGAAAUAACUCAUAAAUUGGAGUGUUGUCUAUCAGCUUCAUCUUGUGUUAUUGGUCGAGACUGGAACAGCACUACAUCUAAUCACACUAAUUUUGUUUCAUUUAUGGUUUUGUGAUUCAUGUUAAAUUUCAUCUAAAUUUAUGUUGGUGGUGACAUCUUUAUGCUCAAUUGCUGCAGCUGGACUCUUUUAUUAAUUGAAUUGGGUUUAAGUAAAUUAUAUAGUAAUAAUAAUUUCUAAACCCUACAGGACCCACCUCGUCUCCACUGAUUAUGUUCUUGAGAGUACCCUAAAAAGGAACAUUUUCUCUUCCCAGCCGUUUCGUCCGUGGAUUCUCUUUCUCUUAUGAUUUUGUUUUUCGAAUGCAAUCGAAUUAGCUGCUAUAUGGACCCUUUCCUAUCUGUUGUUCCCAGCGCUUUCCCAGGCCAAGCUGGAAUUAAAAAAAUAGGAAGGCAAAGCUCUGCUAAUCUUUUUGUUUUUGGGGGAUUUAGAUUUUGUAGUGAUUAAUUAGUUUGCAGUAGAAUCAAGUGGUACGAACAAACAUCGACACAAGAGGAUGAUUGAUGGAGAAAAUGACGUGUGGAAAUCAUUACCUUCGAUUAGUCAUGUGUUGAUGGGUUCAGAUUGUACAAUCUUUUGAUUGGAGUUCAGACCAAAAACAGACUUAGACUUGUAAAUGAAUCUUCUUGUAAACUUUGUGGUACUGCGAAUUUGAAAAUUUUCAACAUAUCUUUGUUUUUUGCGAUCAAUUUUUGUUAGUAAAACUUGUAUUGAUGGGAAAAGAUUAUGAUAAUUAACAACAUUUAAGCUCAAACACUCUUGAACCCCAUUGAAAUAACAUGAACCAUAAUUUGUUGCAAGCAUGUGUGAUUAGUAUGUACAUUAGCUUGCAGUUGAAGCAAUCUCACUCCAACAUUUCCUAAUCUAACUUGAAAUAACACAUCAACAAUGGUCAUGCCCUUUCCAUACGUUGUACUUUCUACGAAGACUAGGUUCAUAUGCCAGCAACCGUGUACGAAGGGUUGAAUACUUGACUUAGUUGACUUGCAAUGAUCACCACAAAAAGGGCAUAUAGGUUAAGUUCCAGUAACAUGCAUACGGUAAAUCUUUGCCUGCCUGCUGAAUUCUUUGUGCAGCCAUGAAUACCAAACCAAACUCAAAGUUCGUGUUCUCCAUUAUUUUAUUAUGUGCAUUUCUCGAGUCCCAUGUUUCCCUUGCAGCUGACACCAUCAGCGAAAACCAAUCUCUCUCGGGCGAUCAAACCAUUGUCUCUGCAGGUGGGAUGUUUGAGCUAGGUUUCUUCAAACCAGGUCAGCUUUCAAACUACUAUAUAGGCAUAUGGUACUCCAAGCAAGUGGCAUCUGAGAUGACCGUUGUUUGGGUAGCAAAUAGGGAAAUACCGGUAUCUGAUAGAUUUUCUUCCGUGUUAACCAUCUUAGAUGGUAAUUUAGUUCUCUUGAACAUGUCCAAAAUCCCGGUUUGGUCAACAGAUUUAAACUCCACUACCAGUUCUGGUUCUGUACUAGCAGUUCUUUUGGAUAGCGGAAACCUUGUCUUGAUAGCCGGCUCUAGUAAUAAUACAUCAGAGCCUUUAUGGCAAAGCUUUGAUCAUCCAACCCAUGCUUUGCUACCAGGAGGUAAACUUGGAUUCAACAAAAUUACAAAUCAUACCCAAUUUGUCACUUCAUGGAAGAAUUUGGAGGAUCCUGCACCAGGUCUUUACUCUCUUGAGCUAGCUCCGGAUGAAAGCAAUUCAUAUAUCUUAUUGUGGAAUAGGUCUAGACAGUAUUGGACCAGCGGACCAUGGAAUGAAAGUCUGCAUACUUUCAACGUGCUUCCUGAAAUGAGGAUAGAUCAUAACUUCAUUUAUAAUUAUGUUACAAAUGAGAACGAAAGUUAUUUCACAUAUUCUUCUAACAAUCCUAAAAUUGUAUCUCAAUACUCGAUGUCUGCCUCAGGACAGAUUCAGCUACUAUGGAUGGAGAAUUCCAAGCAGUGGGAAUUGUUUUGGUCUCAACCAAGACAGUGUGAUGUUUAUGCUUCUUGUGGGGCUUUCUCCAGUUGCAAACCCACAUCCUUCAACUACUGCAAAUGUUUGAAGGGCUUUGUGCCAAACCGGCAGAGUGAUUGGGACUUGCAGAUUUAUUCUGGUGGAUGUUCAAGAAGAACCAGUGUGACGUGUGGGAAUGCUACGGGAGAUGGGCUUCUAAAAUUAAAUAGAGUCAUUGCCUGAUAAUUGAAAAUAUGAUGGUACUCUUAGUAUCGAAAGUUGUAGAUCAGCCUGCUUAAAUGAAUGCCAGUGCACUGCUUAUACUUAUGGCAGCAGCAAUGCAUGUUCAAUCUGGCAUGGAGAUGUCUUGAAUCUGCAUGAAGUUGAAGCAAAUGAAGGUGAUGGAAGUACUUUAUACGUCAGAGCGGCAGCUUCUGACAUCAAGGAAAAACGUAAUAAUAGAAUGAUUAUUCGUGUUGCAAUUAGUGGUCAUUGUUUUGGCGCCAUUAUCUUGAUGUUGUCAACAAAAUCUUUUUCUUCUCUUUGCAGGUGUAAUUAAGCCGUCCCUUUGGAUUGCAAUAGUCUCAACAAUCACUGGUUUAAUUGUUGUCGUUUUUGGCUGUUUCUUAUGGAAGAAAACUACGGGAAAGAAAAGGUACUGCUACCACCGAUCUCAUCUCUCUCUGUGUCUUUUUCUCUCAAACGUGUUCUAAUACUAUGACUAAAACAGAAAGCAUAAGAAGAACCAUACUGAGAGUAAAAGUAAAUUUGAUGUUGGAGGUGGAGGUGGAAAGGAUGAUGCAGAACUACCGAUCUUCGGUUUAAGGGCUGUAGUAGCUGCUACAAACAACUUUGCUGAAGCUGAUAAACUCGGCGAGGGAGGAUUUGGCCCUGUUUACAAGGUGACACUUCCACCAUGUGCUUUAAAUACAAGUACAUUUUUCUUCUCCUGAACACCUUUGUUUAUUUCUGACCUAAACAAAUAUCCAAGGAGAAUUAAAGGACAAAAAUAAAUAGGAGUGUGCAGGAGAAAAAAGCUGUCCAAAAAUCAUUCCCCCUUUCGAAAAUAUGAUUUUUUUUUUUCUUUGAACUUCAAAAAAUGUUCUCUUGUGCGCUUUUCUUCCUCUGUACAGGGAAUUCUGGCUGAAAGUCAAGAAGUAGCCAUUAAAAGGUUAUCAAAAAGGUCAGGCCAAGGACACGAGGAGUUCAUGAAUGAAUUAAAACUUAUUGCCAAGCUCCAACAUACCAGUCUCGUUAGGCUCUUGGGUUGCUGUCUUGAAGAUGAGGAAAUGAUAUUGAUCUACGAGUACAUGCCCAAUCGGAGCUUAGACAAACUUUUAUUUGGUAAAUACAAGCUUAUGACUUAUUAAUUCUUUGUUUCUGCAAAUUAUUUUCUAUUGAUGUUUUGAUGUCUAUUUCAUAUCAUUAACUGUUACAAGAUCAAAAAUACAUAUAGAGGAAGAGACGGGAAAGUAGAAGGGAAAACGAGAGGUGGAGGACAAUGACAGCCCAAGCACUCAUGGUGACAGCCAAAGCACUCCAAAGCACUCAUGGUGACAGCCAAAGCACACAUGGUGAUGGCCUCCACCCUACCUAACUUAAGCCACUAACUUAACUUUACAAUUAUGAGGGAACAUUAUCACUUUAAUUAUACUAGCACUAAGACUAGACAAAAGCUUGCAUUAUUCUUCCAACAUUUAACCCUACUUCCAAUAAUAACUUCCAAUACUCCCCCUCAAGCUGGAUCCAGAAGGUUGAUGGAUCCAAGCUUGGAGAGGAGCCUUUGAAACUGAUGAGAAGCCAGAGGUUUGGUCAAUAUAUCAGCCAGCUGAUCGGAGCUUUUUACAUAAUGCGUCUGAAUCACCUGCGACUGUACUUGUUCACGGACAUAGUGGCAGUCGACUUCAAUAUGCUUCGUCCUCUCGUGAAAGACGGGGUUUGAUGCUAUGUGCAUGGCAGCCUGAUUGUUACAAAAUAAGGUCAUUGGUUGAGCCGUGAACACACCUAAGUCACAUAAAAGUUCUUUCAGCCAUAUUAGCUCACACGCGGUUGGGGCCAUUGCACGAUAUUCAGCUUCGGCACUUGAUCUUGCGAUGACAGUUUGUUUUUUGCUCUUCCACGUGACCAAGUUUCCACCAACAAAGGUGCAGUAACCAGUGGUGGACUUGCGAUCGAUGGCGUUUCCUGCCCAAUCUGCAUCGCAGUACCCCAUGAUUUGAGUGUUGUCAUUCUUCGCCAUGAGGAUGCCACGACCAACGGACCCUUUCAAGUAACGUAAGAUCCUUUUGACAAGGUUCAUAUGCUCGAUGGUGGGGGAGUGCAUGAACUGACUGGCGAUACUUACUGAAUAUGAGAUGUCCGGUCUGGUGAUCGUUAGGUAGAUCAGCUUGCCAACAAGCCUCUGAUAGAAGCUAAUAUCCGAGAGUGGCGUGCCUCCCAAGUCAAGUUUGAGCUUGCUAUCGAGAGGGGUAAGUGCAGGCUUAGCAUCACUCAUAUUAGCGUCCUUGAGUAGGUCCAUGACGUAUUUUCGUUGAUUAAGAAAUAGUCCCUUGUGAGAAUAUGCCAUUUCGAUUCCAAGAAAAUACUUCAACACCCCAAUAUCUUUAAUCGCAAAUAUUUGUUGAAGUGACUGUUUGAGUGUGGAGAUUUCUGCAACAUUAUCACUUGCAAUUAUUAAGUCACCCACGUAUAUCAACACAACUAAUUUGCUCACAUCUCCUGUGCGAACAAAUAAUGAUGAAUCUGCAUUACUCAUUUUGAAACCAACACUAAGAAGGACGGAACUUAGUUUUGAAUACCAAGCACGAGGCGAUUGCUUCAAUCCAUAAAUCGACUUAUGCAACUUACACACCAAAUCAGGCUCUUGGCUUUGAGGGUGUCCUGGUGGCAAUCUCAUAUAGACCUCUUCUUUAAGAUCACCAUGUAGAAAGGCGUUAUUCACGUCCAUUUGGUACAUGGACCAACCCUUAUUGACGGCAAUAGACAAUAUGACCCUAACUGAGUUCAUUUUUGCAACAGGAGCAAAUGUUUCUUUGUAAUCCACCUCAAAUGUUUGAGUGAAUCCUCGAGCCACCAGCCUGGCUUUAUGCCUCUCAAUCGAACCAUCAGAAUUAAACUUGAUCUUAUAGAUCGAUUUGCAGCCCACUGCCCUUUUUCCUUUUGGAAGUUUGGUGAUGCUCCAGGUGUUGUGUUGGUCUGGUGCUUUGAGUUCAUCUCGCAUUGCUUCUUUCCACACAACUUGGUUAUUAGCCUCAUGAAAGUUUUGAGGCUCACUGUGACUUGAAAUGGUGUUAAGAAAGGCAGCAUGAGAUGGAGUUACCUUUUGAUACGACACGCAAUUGGAGAUUGGAUGUCUCGGUUUAUAUGUGACAAAAUCUUGAAACCUCGUGGGAGGUUGUCUAUCACGUCGAGGAUUGCGUCGAGGUACUGGGAGAGUUGUCUCAUCCUCGUUUAAAUUAUCAGCCACACUUUGAAGAUUUUCCAUGUUGCCGCUGUCAUCAUCAUGUACAGAACCAUCAGGGUGAGUGCCUUCAUUGUUGACUUCAGUGAGAGGUGUAGGAGAUUCAUCAAUGUUGUCAUGGUUAGAACCUCUGUCGUUUGAAACAUCUGGAGUGUUGAUUCUUGGUAGAGGAAGUAGGUCUAAGAAACACCCCCCCUGACUUGUGGCUUCAUGUGAUUUGCUGAAAAAAGGGUUAGCUUCAUGGAAUUGUACAUCUUUGGAUACAAUUAUUUUUCUCAUUUGAGGAUCAUAGCACUUGUAUCCUUUUUGUGUUGAUGAAUAACCAAGAAAAAUACAUUUGAGAGCUCUAGGGUCCAAUUUAUCUCGAUGUUGUGGCUGAACAUGAACAAAACAUACACAACCAAAGACUCUAAGAUGUGAAAGUUCGAUUUUUCUUCCUUUCAUGACUUCAAGUGGAGAUUUAAACUCCAAGACUCGGCUAGGAAGUCUAUUGAUGACGUACACAGCCGCCAUGACUUCUUGUGACCAAAAUCUCUUUGGUACAUUCAUUUGUAACAUUAAUGCUCUCGUUUUUUUCCAGUAUGUCACGAUUUUUCCUUUCGGCUACACCAUUUUGUUGAGGUGUACCAACACAACUUGUUUGAUGCAUGAUACCAUGCUUGCUCAAAUAUUGUGACAUGACAUGGGACAUAUAUUCGGUGCCAUUGUCAGAUCUUAAGGUUUGAAUUUGAGAGGAAAAAUGGUUCUUAACAAGGUUGUGAAAAUCUUUAAAAACUUCCAUCACUUCACUCUUAGACUUUAAAAGGUACAACCAUGUGGCUCUAGAGAAAUCAUCAACAAAGAUUACAUAAUACUUAUAACCAUCAAACGAUUCAAACGUUGGUCCCCAUACAUCUGAGUGAACUAGUUCGAAAACUUUACUAGUCCUAGAUAAGGAUGAGUUAAAAGGCAAUCUAGUGGACUUAGACAAAUGACAUGUUUCACACGAAAUUAAAUCAUUCCCUAAGUUUGGAAACAACGAUGACAAAACAGGUUGGGAAGGAUGAGCUAAACUUUGAUGCCACAAUUGACUAUCCUGGGAUGGAUUGGACUUGGCUUGAAAUCCUCUGGGACAGCUCUUUGAUAUGUAAUAGAGACCAUCUAGGUAAAACCAUUCACCAAUCGUCUUCUUGGUGAGACAAUCUUGAAAAAUGACAUUGUAAGGAGAGAAGAUGGCUAAACAAUUCAAGGUAUUGGUGAUUUUUCCCACAUAUAGAAGUUGAAAUGGAAAAGAAGGUACAUAUAAGGCUACUGACUCAAUUUUGCCCGACAUUAAGUUGAUAUUUCCCUUUCCUAAAACCUUGGAACUCUCACCAUUGGCAGUUGAGACUUGAGAAGGUUGUGAAAAUUUUUCAAACGUGUGAAACUUAGAAACAUGAUUGGUCAUCUGAUCUGUGGCACCCGAAUCAACAAUCCAAAAAUCAUGCAUCAUAUUUACUUUAAGAGCAGUUUUGAAAGCAGUCAUGAUACCUAGCAUGUCAUCUCGGGGUAUGUGUUGUGUGUCUGUCAGAAAACCAGCGAACUUGCCUAGCAAUGCUGUUGAGUUUCCAUCUUCAAAACGGACCAUCUGAUCACUCUUAUUCCAUUCUUUCUUGCUUUGAAGAUAUGCUGCAAACUCAUUUAUGAGUGCAGCCGGAUUUGUUGUGAAGCUCUUGAGUGCAUCAAACCCAUGUGAGGUUGCGGCAGAUGUAUUGUUGGCUUUGUGUGUUGCACGGUUCAGUCUUUGUGAGCCCUUGUUAUCCUUCAUGAACUCCGGCUUUAGUUCUGGAUGUAAAAUCCAUCAUGUCUCCUUAACAUGACCAGUAUAGUUGCAGUGUUGGCACUUUAAGUGUGGAUUAUUCACAUUGUAUUUUCUUUCGUUGGUUAGGUAAGCCCUUGCUUCAGUUACACUGGUCUUUGUGCCAAUGUUCAUAAACUUUCCUUCGUACUUCUUCACGUUGGAUUGUUGCACAUACACUGGUGAAUGAAGGUAGUUCGGGGUUCAUGAGUAUGUGACUUCGUAGGUCUUCGUAUCCUGAAUCGAAGCUUGACAAGAAUUGGAAUAUCUUGUCUUCUUCUGCCCUUUUCAGUAGUACCGACGCUUCAGUUGUAUGAGGCGAUACAUUUCCAACUCAUUCCACCUGCUCUUCAUGCUGCCUAGAAGUUGAACAAAGGGCUUUCCUUAUUGUUAUAGGUUGGAAAUGUCCUUCUUCAAUUAAAACACACGUGCAGCAUUAUUCUGGCUGCCAUACAUCUCCUUGACUGUCUCCCAUAGCUUGAAUGAUGAUUCAAAAUAACUGAAUAUUUUAGCUAGUUUACGUUCCAUGGAAUUUAGGAGCCAUGACAUAACUAGUUGAUCCUUGCAAAGCCAGGUUUCAUAUGUUGGUGAGGAAGCAUUAGGAACUUCGAUGCUUCCAUUUAUGAACCCUAGCUUGGACCUUCCACCUAGGGCAAGACUCACUGCUCUCGACCAAGGUAAGUAAUUAAACUCAUUUAACAAGACCGAGCUUAAUCUUUGAUUUGGGUUGACAUCCACCUCAGACAAAGUUAAGGAGGAAAGUAUCUGGGAAUUUUCCGCCUCAGACGAAGAAGAAUUUUCUUCCGCCAUAUCGGAGAUGGAGUACGAUCAGAUGGUGGGAGUGCAGAAGCAGGUUAUUUUUCCUGCUCAGAUACCAUAUUGAUGUUUUGAUGUCUAUUUCAUAUCAUUAACUGUUACAAGAUCAAAAAUACAUAUAGAGGAAGAGACGGGAAAGUAGAAGGGAAAACGAGAGGUGGAGGACAAUGACAGCCCAAGCACUCAUGGUGACAGCCAAAGCACUCCAAAGCACUCAUGGUGACAGCCAAAGCACACAUGGUGAUGGCCUCCACCCUACCUAACUUAAGCCACUAACUUAACUUUACAAUUAUGAGGGAACAUUAUCACUUUAAUUAUACUAGCACUAAGACUAGACAAAAGCUUGCAUUAUUCUUCCAACAUUUAACCCUACUUCCAAUAAUAACUUCCAAUAUUUUCCUUGUGUGCAAAUGUCAUCUACUGCAAGAUGCACAUUAUGCCCUGUGUCCAACAUUUUAUCUAAAAUGAAAAGAAAAACACUUGCUCAUCUUUCUUCGUGGUUUGUCCUAUCAGAUGCAUCUGAAAAAAACUGAACUAAAUUGGGGAUGACGUUUUCGAAUUAUAGAAGGCAUUGCUCAAGGAGUACUUUAUAUCCACAAGUACUCGAGAUUGAAAAUCAUCCACAGGGACCUAAAAGCAAGUAACAUAUUGUUGGAUGAAGGCUUGAAUCCCAAAAUUUCAGACUUUGGAAUGGCAAGGAUUUUCGGGAUAAAUCAGAUUGAAGCAAAUACAAAUAGGGUUGUUGGCACAUAGUAAGUCUACGUAUAUCUGGUACAUGUUUUCAUUGAAGUAAUGUUCUAUUGCUUACUUCUCUACAUACUGUCAAUUCAUGAGUAGCGGCUACAUGUCACCCGAGUAUGCGAGAUAUGGUCAUUUCUCUGAGAAAUUAGAUGUAUUCAGCUUUGGAGUGUUGUUGUUGGAGAUUGUAAGCAGAAAGAAUGCUGUUUUUUAUCGCUUUGAACAUUCACCAACUCUUGCUGGAUGGGUAAGUACUGAAAAAUGAUUCUAAAACUCAUGGUCAUCCUUUCUUUAAGCCUUCCAAAUUCGCAAAUGACCGUAAACUCAACAUUUUAAUCAGGGAUGGGAGUUGUGGAAAGAAGGAAGAGGAAUGGAGGUGAUUGAUGAAUCAGUAAGGGAAACAUGCCAGCUCUAUGAAGCUUUGAGGUGUAUCCAUGUAGGGUUUUUGUGUGUUCAAGAAGCUCCAGCUGAUCGACCAACAAUGUCUUCGGUAAUUCGUAUGUUGCAGGGCAAUGAAUCUACAUCUCUUCCACCUUCCAAAGAACCUGCCUUUUCAACACACAGAAAUUCCAGUCAUGUUCGCUCUUCUCAAACGCCUACCAUUUAUUCCCACAAUGCAGUCACCAUGAGUUUGCCAGAAGGUCGAUAGGCGUUGGAAGAGCAAUGACUGGCAAGCAGUUGAGAAAAUAAUAUAGUAUAUUAGAAUAAACAUCCCGACAACUAGCAGUUUUAUACAAACACUUCGGGUUCAAUUACACAUUACUCGAGCUGUUUGUGCAUUUUAUGGUUUUUGCCCAUCCAAACUAAACCUAUAAUAGCAGCAUAUUAAAUUUAUGUUGUAUUUUUUAGCUGCAAAUGUGGGUGUAACCGUACUUCUAGAUAUGUUCCCGCCACACCUCUUGGUGCAACCGUAUUUAUAUUAAAUUAAAAUGGAAUGUCACUUGUAUCAAAAGAAUAAAGAGGAGAUUUUUUUUACAUAUUCCAACUUUCAGAAGACAAAAACUAAAAACAAAAUUGUUCUAGAACAAAGGAUUUACAUUAGUAUAACCAUAAUUGACAACAUGGGUUUUCCUAUGGUUGGAAUAGAAAAUUUGACAAUCAUCAUAUAGAAUCUACCGAAUGCAAGUUUGGCAACUAGAACUACAAGUAAACUAUGUGCCCGAUCAGUUUUCUCGUCGACGAAGAUUCGAACUUGAUGCCUCUUUCAACAUUGAAAAACAAAAUAUCACUAGAACACUUGAUGAGCCUGAUCAUGUUAAACUCAAGUUUUAUUGAUGAGAGUAUGGGCUGGUGAUGAUGAGCUCUCGGCAAGCAGCGGGGCUGCUUGGCCUCCAAGAAUAAAUGGAUUCGAACAUGCACCAGUCUGCUCAAACUAUAGAGGAACUGAAUGCACCCUGCAGAUCAAGUGUCAAUAAUCAAUCAAUUAAACAAACAGUUAGUGAAUAUCACUUCGAUCUAGAAAAUUUAAGGACCUUGAAUAGUUUCACUUACAAGCUACAACAACAAAACAAAUCAACAUAAGAGUGGAUCAACCAACGAAUGCACCAUUCUAGUUGAGUCCGAUUACCACCAAUGUAAGAGUCAAUUUUGUUACAAUUAGCACCAGUAAGGACAUCAGUUUAAUCUCGAACAAAGCUCCGCUGCCAGUUUCGGCAUUAUUGUUCUCCCCAACCUUGAAACCCAUGAUUGUGCUGAUUCUUUAUCGGGACCAGGCCAAAAAACACAAACAGAGAAAGAAAAAAAAAGGAUUAAACUUGUGUUUGAGAGAGAAAACAUGAGUAUGGUAUAUAAAAAUGUUGUAGGCAAGGUAGGUAGCAUUGUUUCUUGUUACUUUUUUCUACCUGAUUUGGCUUCCCGUAUAUUUUGGGUCCCUACGAUUGUGAAGUUACCCAUUUUGAUGCAAAAUGGAGGCAGGGUACUUAUGCUUCUUGUUUGGAGAGAUAGUUUAAUUAAAUGUGUCAUGUAUCAAAAAAGGUUUACUUUUAAAAAACAUAAACAAAGUUCAUUGAGUGAGUGACGCCACUAAAACUACGCAUACAAUGCAAAAGAGAACCUCUUGUUUGUUUGGCAGGUAAUUCCUGUUUCAAUCAACAGAGAGAUAAUGUGACUUAGUAAACAUUGGGUAGAUCAUGCUUAUAGGAGUGGUAUUGUUCAUUGCUCGUUGGCCAUCUUGCUUUAUUCCCUGAUUUUCAAAAAUAUUAUUGUGGGACAGAAACAUCAGGUUAAUUAUUGUGUGUGUCAUUAUUAUGUUAAUUUUGAUAAAAUUUAAUGUAUAUAUGAGUUAGACAAAACAACGACGAUAAUUGAUAACACUACGUAAUACUCUAACUAUGAACAUUAAAACAUUUCCCUAAUAUCACGCCGUUCUUCACGUUUUGCAUCCACACACAAGCAAUCGUGAAAGACGACAACAAUUGAUUUUGAACGUAAAUGAUGAAACUGAUGACUCAAGGAUAAACUGCAGAAUAAUGGAUCACACAUAGGCAAUCUGUAUAGUACCACGUGUCGAAAAAGUCAGCUGAAGGAUGCAGCCUACCAACAGGCUACAGGGACAUGUAAUCACGUUACUGUCCGAAGGGAAGCAGUGGGACCAACUCAGUUUCCUCAUCGAGCAAAAUAACUGAAGUUAACAAGUGUCACGCGUCCGUUAGAUAAUGACUUAUUUUAUUUUAUUUUUGUUAAUUAAUGAAUAAUACAGUUGCUCCGCAACUCACUCUCCUCUUGUUGAGUGAUUUGAGGAAGCAGUCUCUUCUCUUCUCACUUGAUCAGCCUCUCAAUUCUGGUCAACUUUUCCCCAAGGACGAUCUUAUCCUUCUUCACCAGAGCUUCAAGGGCUUUCAAUGGCCACCCUGUAGCCUCCAAGCUUCUGGUGCUCUGUACUAUCAGGUUCUCAAUUUUCUUGCUUACCAUGAUAAUUUCUUUUCGAUCGGUUUGGCAUGAGGUGAAGCCUCACAUGACCUAAAUUUUUUAAUAUAUAUACGGAGUGUACACAUAUAUUAUAUUAAAAAAGAAGAAGAUUAUUAAUCAAUAAUCAUCCCGAGCACACACAUAUAUUAUAAAUACAUAUACACAUAUAUAUUAUAUUAUAUAUAUAAAAUAGAGGAUGAAAAGUAUAAUGAGCACACAUAUAACAAUGCACGUAGACGGCACAUACAUUCAUUAUAUAAAAAAUAAAAAUCAGAAAACAAGGCAGAGAGAUGAUAGUGCAAGGAAGAUGUGUGAGGUAGUUAAAACCUUACCCAAAAUUUGGGUUUGGGAGUAAUAAUAAAAAAAAAUUAAAAAUAAAAUUCUCUUGAGGAGCGCCUAGGCGGCGCCUUCCGCCCACUCCCUGAAAACAGAGGCGGCAUCCCUCAAGCCCAGCCUCACAGGGCGCCUAGGCGCGCCCUGAGGCGAGCCUUUUAAAACAUUGGAGAAAAUGCAUGACCAGAAAAUGAGUUAGUGUUAAGCGAUUACGGGAGUUACCAUUGUCAUAUCUCAAAUUAUUAUUAUAUUGAAUAUACAGUUUCUACAGUUAGGUUGAAAUAUUUUCUAUCAUAGCAUAUAAAGACACAUUCUUUUUUGGUUUUGGUUAUAUCUCAAUGAAGUAUCAUUUUCUGAAGGCAAGUCCGGUUUAUUGAAUUUUUAGGUGUCAAUGAUGUUACAAUCCGACGUGUUUGAGGCGUAGAGGAAGUGAGAACCUGCUUUUGUGCAGGGAGAACCUACUCGUGGAAACUAUGAUCCCUUGACAGAUUCGAUGUACCUGAAUCAUCGUAGUCGUAGUUUUAGGUUGUGUGUUUUUGUUGUGUCUUGUGUUAAAAUGUGUUUUUGAGUUUCAACUAUACUCUUAUACUUUUUCAAUCAGGUGUAGGGUCUGAAAUAACUCAUAAAUUGAAGUGUUGUCUAUCAGCUUCAUCUCUUGUUACUGGUGGAGACCGGAGUCAAACAACAACACUGCACCUAAUCACACUAAUCUUGUUUCAUUUACGGUUUUGUGAUUCAUGUUAAAUUUCAUUUAAUUUGGAUUGAUGCUGCUAAUCUUUUUGUUGUCGAAGGAUUUAAACAAGAUGAUGAUUGGUGGAGAAAAAUGGCAUGGGGAAAUCAUUACCUUAGAUUAAUCAUGUCUGGAUGGGUACAGUUUGUAGGAAUUCAGACCAAAAACAGAGACAUGGAAAUGAAUAAACUUUUUGGUAAUGGGAGUCUUAAAAGUUUCAACAUAUCUUUGUUUUUGUGAUUACUUUUGUUAGUUAGACUUGUAUGGAUUGGAAAAGAUUAUGAGAAUUAACAACAUUUAAGCUCAAAACCUCUUGAACCGAAGGAAUCAUGAUCGUAGGUAACCUUAUUGAAAUAACACAUGAACCAUAAUUUAUAGUAAGCAUGAAUGCUUAGUUUGGUACAUUAGCUUGCAGUUGAAGCAAUCUAACUUGAAUGUCCUAAUCCUAACUCAUACCUCCAUGUCUUCUCGGGUUUAGGAUAUGUGAUGCCUCAAGGGUUUACACAUUGUAGACUGUAGAGCAUUGACGAAUUUGAACAGAACCGUUAUACUACCAGAAUCUUUGACAGAGGAAGAACAAUGUUCAAGCCCUUUCCAUACAUUGAAUUUUCUAUAAGUCGUUGUCGGUCCAUAUGCCAGCUAAUGAACCGUAAGAAUUGACUUAGUUGACUUACUGAUCACCAUGAAAAGGGCAUGUAGGUUAAGUUCCAGUAACAUGCAUACGGUAAAUCUUUGCCUGCCUGCUGAAUGCUUUGUGCAGCCAUGGAUACCACACCAAACUCAGAGUUUGUGUUCUCCAUUAUUUUAUUAUGUGCAUUUCUCGAGUUCCAUGUUUCCCUAGCAGCUGAUACCAUCAGCGAAAACCAAUCUCUCUCGGGUGAUCAAAUUAUUGUCUCCGCAGGUGGGAUUUUUGAGCUCAGUUUCUUCAAACCAGGUAACUCUUCAAACUUCUACAUAGGCAUGUAGUACACCAAACAAGUAGUAUCCGAGAGGACCAUUGUUUGGGUGGCAAACAGGGAAAAACCAGUUUCCGAUAAAUUUUCUUCAGUUUUAAUGAUUUCAGAUGGUAAUUUAGUCCUGUUCAACGAGUCCAAAUCCCCUGUUUGGUCAAUUUAACCUCCUCCUCCGCCACUGCACUUCUUUUGGAUACCGGAAACUUCUCGGUGUCCAGUAAUAGUUUAUCAGAGCCGUUAUGGAAAUCCUUUGAUAAUCCAAUGCAUACUUGGCUGCCAGGAGCUAGAAUUGGGUUUAACACUGUUAUCCAACAAACCCAAAUAUUUACUUCACGGAAGAGUUCAAAGGAUCCUGCACAGGGUCUUUUCUCGCUUGAGUUGGACCGAACGGAAGCAAUGCGUAUCUUCCCAUACUGUGGAUCCUACAGUAUUGGAUAUGCAUUGCUUCCGUGACGCAUACUUCACCUACCCUCUUUAUGAUCCAAAGAUAUUUUCUUGAUUCGUGACGCAUACUUCGGGGAAAAUUCAACAGUUGUCAUUGUGGGACAUACCGUGGAAUUUGGUUUGGUCCCAACGGAGAAAACAAUGCGAAGCUUAUGAUUUGUGCGGUGAGCACCCUCGCCUAUAAUUGCUUGAACGGUUUUGAGCCGAAGGCGAAGAGAGACUGGGAUUUAAAGGACUACCCUGGUGGGUGUUCAAGAAAAAAAAGAUCUGCAGCUGAGGCAAUCUAACUCGAACAUUUCCUAAUCCUAUAGCUCCAUCUCUUCUUGUGUUCGAUACGUGAAUCCUCAAGGGUUUACACAUUGUAGAGCAUUGAUGAAGUUGAAUAGAACCGUAAUACAUUGAAUUUUCUACAAAGACGGUAAGAUCCCACAUUGCCCAGGGAAAUGAUCCUUAUAUGUAUAUUCUCAUCCCUACCUAGCAUGAGGUCUUUUGGGAGCUCACUGGCUUCAGGUUCCAUUGGAACUUCGAAGUUAAGCGAGUAGCGCGCGAGAUCAAUCCCAUGAUGGGCGACUGGGAAGUUCUCGUGUGAGUUCACAGAAACAAAACCAUGAGGACGUGGUAGGGAUCCAAAACGGACAAUAUCGUAUUACGGUGGUGGAGCGGGCCCGAAAUGUGAUGGACCCCCGGGCCGGGAUGUGACAAAGACUUUGUUCAUAUGCCAGCUAAUGACAGAAUGUGAAGGGUUGAAUAGUUGAUUUAGUUGACUUGCAAUGACCACCAUGAAAAGGGCAUAUAGGUUGAGUACAGUAACAUGCACACGGUAAAUCUUUGCCCACCUGCUGAAUUCUUUGUGCAGCCAUGGAUACCAAACCAAACUCAGAGUUCGUGUUCUCCAUUAUUUUAUUAUGUGUAUUUCUCAAGUCCAAUGUUUACCUAGCAGCUGACACUAUCGGUGAAAACCAAUCUCUAUCUGGCCAUCAAACCAUUGUGUCUGCAGGUGGGAUUUUUGAGUUAGGUUUCUUCAAACCUGGUCAGCUUUCAAACUACUAUAUAGGCAUAUGGUACUCCAAGCAAGUAGUAUCUGAGAUGACCGUUGUUUGGGUAGCAAAUAGGGAAAUACCAGUAUCUGAUAGAUUUUCUUCGGUCUUGAGCAUCUUAGAUGGUAAUUUAGUUCUCUUGAACCAGUCCAAAACCCUGGUUUGGUCAACAAAUUUAAACUCCACCACCACUUCUGGUUCUUUACAAGCAGUUCUUUUGGAUAGUGGAAACUUUGUCUUGAGAGCGGGGUCUAGUAACAAUACAUCAGAGCCUUUAUGGCAAAGCUUUGAUCAUCCAACCCAUACUUGGCUACCAAGAGGUAGACUUGGAUUCAACAAAAUUACAAAUCAUACCCAAACUCUCACUUCAUGGAAGAAUUCGGAAAAUCCUGCACCAGGUCUUUACUCUCUUGAGCUAGCCCCGGACGAAAGCAGUUCAUAUAUCUUAUUGUGGAAUAGGUCUAAACAGUAUUGGAUCAGUGCACCAUGGAAUGAAAGUUCACAUAUUUUCAAGGUGGCUCCUGAAAAUCAAAUGUUCAAUUAUAGUUAUGUUACGAAUGAGAACGAAAGGUAUUUCACCUAUUCUCUUUACGAUCUAAAAACUGUAUCUCGAUGCUCCUUGUCUGUCUCGGGCCAGAUUCAGCAACUAACAUGGUUGGAGAAGCAGUGGACUUUGCUUUGGUCUCUACCAUUACAACAGUGUGAUGUUUAUGCUUUUUGUGGGGCUUUCUCUAGUUGCAAUCCCACAUCCUUGGACAACUGCAAAUGUUUGAAGGGCUUUGAGCCAAACCGGCAGAGUGAUUGGGACUUGCAGAUUUAUUCUGGUGGGUGUUCAAGAAGAACCAGUAUGCAGUGUGGGAAUGCUGCUAGUGCGAAUGGGACGGGUGAUGGGUUAUUGGGAGACGAGUUUCUAGAAAUACAUAGUAUUUCAUUGCCUGAAAAUAACCAAUAUGGAUACGCUCUUGGUAUCGAAAGUUGUAGAUCAGCCUGUUUAAAUGAAUGCCAUUGCACUGCUUAUGCUUAUGAAAGCAACAGUUAUUGUUCAAUAUGGCAUGGAGAUGUUUUUCUGCCAGAGCUUGUAGCAAGUGACGGUGGUGGAAGAACUUUAUACAUCAGAGCUGCAGCUUCUGACAUUAAGAAAAAACGUAAUAAGAGAGUGAUUAUUCAUGUCUUACUUGGAGCCGUUAAUCUUAAUGUUGUCCCAGUGAUUUUUUUCUUUUCUUUGCAGGUUUAAUUAAGCCGUCCCUUGUGAUUGCAAUUGUCACAACAGUCACAGGUUUGCUUCUUGUCAUUUUUGGCUAUUUCUUAUGGAAGAAGACAGUGGGAAAGAAAAGAGAGCAAAGGAAUAGAUAUGGUGAGACUAAAAGUAAAUUUGCUGCUGGAGGUGAAAACAACGAUGCAGAACUGCCGAUCUUUGGUUUAAGGGCUAUAAUAGCUGCUACAAACAACUUCGCUGAAGCUAAUAAACUCGGAGAGGGAGGAUUUGGCCCUGUCUACAAGGUGACACUUCCACUGUGUACUCUAAAUACUAAAACAUUUUUCUCCUCAUGCACACUUCUUGUGUAUUUAUGACCUUUGGAUUGAAUAAUUCCAAUGAGAUGAAUCACGGGGCAAAGUACACAUGGGUGUGCAGAAGGACAAAAAAGAGUGUUCGAAAAUAAUUUCUCCUUUCAGAAACAUGACCGUUCCUUUUUACUUCUCUUACAAUUUCUUCUCUUGUGCGAUUUUCUUCCUCUAUGCAGGGAAUUUUGGCUGAAAAUCAAGAAGUAGCCAUAAAAAGGUUAUCAAAAAAGUCAGGUCAAGGACAACAGGAGUUCAUGAAUGAGUUAAAACUUAUUGCCAAGCUCCAACAUACCAAUCUCGUUAGGCUCUUGGGUUGCUGUCUUGAAGAGGAGGAAAUGAUAUUGAUCUACGAGUACAUGCCCAAUCGGAGCUUGGACAAACUUUUGUUUGGUAUAUAUAUGCUAAUGACUUAUGAUUUUUUCUGCAAAUAUAUUGCUUUCCUUGUGUUUAAAUGCCGUGUACUGCAAGAUCAAAUGCACUGUGUCCAACAUUUUAUCUAAAAUGAAAAGAAAAACAUUUGCUCAUUUUUCUUCAUGGUUUGUCCAAUCAGAUGCAUCUGAAAAAAGAGAAUUAGAUUGGGGAAGACGUUUUCGAAUUAUAGAAGGCAUUGCUCAAGGAGUACUUUAUAUCCACAAGUACUCUAGAUUGAAAAUCAUCCACAGGGACCUAAAAGCAAGUAACAUACUGUUGGAUAGAGCCUUGAAUCCCAAAAUUUCAGACUUUGGAAUGGCAAGGAUUUUCGGGAUAAACCAGACUGAAGCAAAUACCAAUAGGGUUGUUGGCACAUAGUAAGUCUACAUAUACCUGGCACAUGUUUUCAUUCAAGUAAUGUUCUAUUGCUUACUUCUAUACAUACUGUCAAUUCAUGUGCAGCGGUUACAUGUCACCUGAAUAUGCAAGAUAUGGUCAUUUCUCUGAGAAAUUAGAUGUAUUCAGCUUCGGAGUGUUAUUGUUGGAGAUUGUAAGCGGAAAGAAAAAUGCUGCUUUUUAUCGCUUUGAACAUUCACCAACUCUUGCUGGAUGGGUAAGUACUUAAAAAUUAUUCUUGCUCACAAUCAUUCUGUCUUUAAGCCUUCCAAAUUCGCAAAUGACCGUAAAUUCAACAUUUUAAUUAGGCAUGGGAGUUGUGGAAAGAAGGAAGAGGAAUGGAGGUGAUCGAUGAAUCGGUAAGGGAAACGUGCCACCUCGAUGAAGCUUUGAAGUGUAUCCAUGUAGGGUUUUUGUGUGUUCAAGAAGCUCCAGCUGAUCGACCAACAAUGUCUUCGGUAAUUCAUAUGUUGCAGGGCAAUGAAUCUACGUCUCUUCCACCUUCCAAAGAACCUACCUUUUCAACACACAGACAUUCCAAUCCUGUUCGCUCUUCUGAAAUGCCUACCAUUUUUUCUCACAACUCAGUCACCAUGAGUUUGCCAGAAGGUCGGUAGGGGUUGAAAGAACAGUGGCUAGCAAGCAGUUGAGAAAAUAGUGUAUUAAAUUAGAAAAAAAGACAUUGCGACAAAUAUGUUUAUACGAACACUUCAAGGGUUCAAUUGGAGAAAUAAAAGUCCCCUCAGCUGUGAGGUUGAGUCUCUUAGAAAGCAUACACCGAAAGAGAAAUGAAUUACUGGUGUUUGUGUUUAAUGGUUUAUGCCCAUCUAGACUAAACCUAUAAUAGCACCAGAUUAAACUUAUGUUAAAGUGUUUUUCAGCUGCAAAUAUGGGCAUAGCCAUAUUUCAAGUUAUGUUCCCACCCCACCCCUUGGUGCAAACCAAUUUAUAUUAAUAUAAAAUAGAAUGUUGUUUGUAUGAAAAGAAAAAAGAGGAGAUUUUUUUACAUUUUUCAACUUUCAAAAGACAAAAAAUAAGAACAAAAUUAGUAUAGAACAAAGGAUUUUACAUUAGUAUAUCCAUAAUUGAAGGAUUUAAGCCCUUUCCAUACAUUGAUUUUUUCUACAAAGACUUGGUCCAUAUGGCAGCUAAUAAACAAUCUGUGAAGGUUGAAUAGUUGACUUAGUUGACUUGCAAGCAGGCGAGAAUAUCUAUCUAUAUAUGGUUAAGCGAGAGUCUCACGGAUGGCGACAAAAUUUUGGAGUCACCCCAUUCAAAACCUGUCCAAAAUAAUAUAUCAAAUCAUGCAAUGAUAAUUUGGUAAUUUAGUCAUAAUAAAAUAUAAAGUAAUGGGUUGUUGGACAAAAAAAUAAGAUUAAAAAAAUGUAAGGAGUUCCAUCCCUCUCCCCCCCCCCCGGCGCGUCUCAUCUCUCAUCCCUCAUUAGAGGUGGGCACUUAGAACCAAAAACCAAACUAAAACACGAACCAAAUCGAACCGCACCGAACGGUUUGGGUUUGCGGUUUUUGAACGGUUUCGGUUUUGAAACCGAACCGCAACAUAGAAAACAGUUUGGUUUCGGUUUUGACUUUUGAAAACUGCACCGAAACCGAACCGCACCACAAAUAUUAAUAAACAUUUAAUUAAAUGUCCAUAUUAAAUUUCAUGUUUUAAUUGGUUGUUUAUUAAAAUCCAUGCACUUAGUACGGACUCAACCACACUAGAAUAUCAUUAUUCAUCACUUUCUUUCGUUCAUUAACUUGAAGGACCUUUGUUAUUUUAUACCAUCACACACACACACACACACACACACACAUAUAUGUACAAGGGUGGACUAAUCUUGUUAUCAAGAGUCGAACAAUGAUCUAAUGAAGUCCACUCAUUUGAAGCAUGAUAUCACAUAUUCUAGUAUAAAAGUUUCGCUCACGUUUAAUGAAUUCAAAGUUAUUCAAUUUGUAUUAUGUUAUACCUUGUACGGGACAUCCUUUUGUUGCACAAACAUGUUUUAACAUCACAACUGCAUGCAACAUGCUAAUUGUUUAUAUAACAAAUGUCUUUUUCCUAUUGCUACUGGGAAAUGCUUAUUAAUAUGUUAAAUUGCAAAUUGUACAUUUUUUUCUUAAAAACCAAACCAAAACAGUUUGAAACCGCACCGCACCGCACCGAACUAAACGAUUUGGUUUCAUUUCGAUUUUGGCUUCAAAACCGCACCGAACCAAACCACAAAAAAUUUCGAUUUCGGUUUCGGUUUCACUCAAAACCACACCGAACUAAACCGUGUCCACCCAUAUCCCUCACGUCUCUCUCUCUCCUCAUUUUCAUUGUUUUCCUCUUGCCCUUCUUUCUCUCUAUAAAAAAAAGUUUUCGCAUGUUGAUAAUAAUGUGAUUAAAUUAAUUGUCAAAUGAUUAAUUUUUUUUUUUAACAAACAACAUUAUCUAUACUAAGGAGGAGGGGGUAAACUUAACCUCACAAUGGGCUAGCAAUAAUGUGAUUCAAUUAGUUGUUCAUUCAAUAUUAUUUUCUCUAUUUUUAAACACGUUCAAAACAUCUUAAGAGGCGUGUAAUGCCGGUUAUAAAAAAGAUUUUUCGCAUGCGGAUAAUAAUGUGAUUAAAUUAGUUGUCAAAUAAUUUUGUUUUUAACAAACGAUAUUAUGUAAGAGAGAGGGGGUGGGCUUUAGCUUCACAAUAGACUAGCAAUAAUGUGAUUUAAUCAAUUGUUCAUUAAAUAUUAUUUUCUCUAUUCUUAUUGUAAAUUCUAUAGAGACCGAUUUUAUUAUGUGAAUUCAACUACUUUAAUUGAUUUAUGAGAGAUUUCUUCUAGCAUGAUCUAAGAUUAUUUAUUACGUCAAAUAUUUGACUUUCAUUUUGUCAAUUUAUGCAUAUAAAUGCAUUUAAAACGUGUAAGUUGUGCGUACCACGUCGUGAUUUAAAAAAUAUCUUCUACACACGCUCACGCGCGUUCAUGAAGGCUAGUAAUGUAUUAAAUUAGAAUAGAACUACCAUGAUAACUAUAAGUUUUAUACAAGCAUUUAAAGGGUUAAAUUGGAAUGCACCCCGCAGAAACUUCAAAGAAAUAAAGUUUAUCUAGAAAGAAAAUGAUGCGUAUACCAAACGGAGUAAAAAUAUGAUGACGGUGUUCAAAUAGUUAAUACACUAGAAAAUGUACCCGCGUGUUGCUACGGGAUUUGAAGCAUUGUUGAAGAUGUGGAAAGUGCUAAAACAUAUAUGCUAAGAAGUGGGGUUUAUAUACGUGUUACAUCCAUAUGUUAAUCAAGUGUUAUUUACAUUCGUAUAUUACAUUACAAAAAUUGGUGAUGCUCAAGAAAAACAAAUUGGGGAUGCUCAAGGACUUUUUCGUAACCUAUGGCUCUAUCUCGUCCUAAAUUGCAUAUGUUUACAACUAUAUAAAGUUAAAAAAAUCCAGUUUUAAUCCACUGAAGACAUCCAAAUCCAUAACUCCAUUAAUGGUAUCUCCCUCCUUUGUUUUGUACGACAACAUUGAACUAAAAAAUCAAAAAGGAGGAAAUUAAAAACAGAAUUUGAUCACUCAGUGAAUUGAAUCACCUUAAAUUGCAUAUAAAUUGAAUUUGAAUUAAAUUGAAUGAAAGUAUACAGACGAAGGGAAAGUUGUCAUAACUUUACCAUGCAAGAUUUUACCAUGCCCGAUUUCAUUUGCAUGUCCCAAAAUCAAUUUACGAAAUUAAGGUUGGGGUUUUCAUAUUCUCUAUUGGGUAAUGAAAGUCACGUGAAAAGUUCAGAAAUAACCAAACCAAAAUCCAAUUUAGUACACCUAAGAAAAACAUUAGCAAGAAACUAUUUCCAACUCAUCAUUUAUUUAUCAAACACAGUAAUACAGUCAUAGAAACACUCUUAACUCACUCACCAAAAUUGAAUUAAUUAAAUUGGAUGUUGGGGUCAAGUCAAAACGACGGUCGGAGGGGCCAGACAUUUUCAAAGGUGUUGAAGAGAAAAGAGGUCGGACAAAUCAAGAUCUUAGAAAUGCAAGAAGGGAGCUUCUACUGGUGGAGAUUCAAGUGUGCUUUGGAACUUAAUACUAGCCUCUAUAAAAAUCCGCACUCGAUGGAGCUUCAGAAAUCGAAGAGGCGCCUGCUCAGAAAUCGAAAAGGCGUUUGCUUUCUCAAAAGCUGGGCUGCUCAGAGACCACGAUGGCCGAUCUCAGGAAUCGAAGAGGCGUUUGCUUUCUCAAAAGCUGGGCUGCUCAAAGACCACGAAGGUCGAUUGCAGAAAUCGAAGAGGCGCUUGCUUUCUCAAAAGCUGGGCUGCUCAGAGACCACGAGGGCCGAUCUCAGAAAUCGAAGAGGCACCUGCUUUUUCAACCUUAUCAGCACCUGUCACAUGCACACUCAACUUUGCGGAAAUUACGGGCAUUCUGUCGAAGAUUUCUAGUGAAGUAGAAAGCACGUGAAUGUUACUGUUCAAUCAUUCACUUUCCACACGCAACAUCAGCUCACGGGUACCACAGAUAACUUUGCCAAAAAUCUCUGACAAAGUUUAGACACGUGAAGCUUGCAGCUCCCAUUACAUCGCUAUGACCAAGAAGGGUAAAAGAAUAGCAAAGAAGCAGCACUAACAAAGUUUAGACACAUAAAUUUUGAAGGUCUAGCUAUCAUAUUACCCACAAAGGUAAAGGAACAGGACCAUUGCUGGAUAAUUGGAAAGUCCCUGUGGGUCAACCUCUGUGCUCCGUGGCAAGGUAGACUAGCAAACAGGCCUAACCUUUACUCACAUUCGAGAAAACACUCCCAACAAGAUUGCUUGCUUCAAGAUCGAAGAGGCACCGUCCUCCGAAUCUCGAGAGCCAGACUCCCAACAUGAUUACUUUCUCAAAAAGCGACGAGACACCGCUCUCCGAAUCUCGAGAGCCAGACUCCUAGCAGGAUUGCUUUCUCAAAAAUCGAAGAGGCACCGUUCUCCGAAUCUCGAGAGACAGAUCCCCGACAGGAUUGCUUGUUCGAAAACCGAAGAGGCACCGCUUUCUCAACUUCGAGAGCCCCUUAGAUAAAGCUUGUUUGUAAUCCUCACACCGCUUUCUCAACUUCGAGAGCCAGAUCUCUUUGGAUAAAGCUUGUCUGUAAUCUUCACACGUAACAUCAGCUUUCCAGAUACCACACACCACUUUUUCAAAGUGCUCUGACAAAGUUAAAACACGUGAAGCUGGCAGCUCCCACUACCGUGCUAUGACCAAGCAGGGUAAAAGAAUAAUAUUACUCAUUGUUAGGGAGACUCCUAUAUAUGUCGACAUCCAUCCUCAACGGACAAGCAGACCUGCAAAAAUGCUCAACCCUUCCUCAUAUCUGAGAGGGCAUUCCCAACGAAGCCUUUCGAAAUACUCAGCUUUCUUUCCCCCCGAGAAUACCUCUGCAAACAAGCUACACUAGAGCAAGAAUAUCUCAUAUCAUCAGGGUUAAAAGCAAGAGUAUCCCAUAUCAUGCUUUUUCUCUGUCUUUUCCUUUGGCCUUGUUCUUACCUGCAAGACAAGGAGAAAGAGAGCAAUCAGUCAGCACUUGGAAUCAAGCUUCCAGUCCGGAACUAACUGCCUGGAACCCCAUUGCUCUCGAGUACUCAUCUUCAACAUCUUAUGCUUCCCGAGAAGAUACCACAUCUGCCUGAGGAACAAAUAGGGCAAGUGAGAAGGAUACAAGGAAGCAUGUGGAGACAAGCGCAACAGAACACGUGCCGAUACAUCCACUACUUUGUCAACAGCAAAAGUAUCCCAUAUCAGCAGGGUCGAACGUACUCUAGAUUUGAUGGACUUGUUUUGACUCUCAAAUUCUUCAGUCGGCCUUAUACUCUGGCGGAAACAAGAAAACCUUCCAGCCCAGUUCAAGAAUAAGCCUGUGGAAAGUUACUUCUUCAAAAGUAAAAGUAUCUCAUAUCACCUUUUCUCCUUUUCUUCUCUUUAUCCUUCAUGCUACCUGCAAGAUAAGGAGAAGGAUAACAAUCAGCCGGAACUCGAAAUCAAACUUCUGAUCAGGGACUGAUUGCUUGAAGCUCUGAUUGCUUACCUUGUCUGUCACCUCUUUCAGCAGAUCCCCUAGCUCGGCGACUUGGGGGUCUCCUACUACAUGGUUUGUAUGGCGCUUGACCAAGCCUGAAACUACAAGUAAGCAUCAAGUGAAAUUGAUACAUUACCUUGUGCAUCUCCACCAGUUAAAGAUACCACCCCUGGAGGGAGGAAGAGUACUUCCAAAGAAGAUGCCACAUCUACCUAUGAGACAGAUAAGGCAAGUGAAGACGAUACCACACUUCGGUACUUAAAAGUUUCGUGAUUACGAGAUCAUUCUUCCACAAUAUUUCCUAAUGUCAUUUGUACUAAAUCAUUCACUUGUACUCACUAAAGGAGAGCUUGAACCUAUAUACUGUGUAAACCCUUCACAAUUAAUGAGAACUCCUUUACUCCGUGGACGUAGCCAAUCUGGGUGAACCACGUACAUCUUAUGUUUGCUUCCUGUCUCUAUCCAUUUACAUACUUAUCCACACUAAUGACCGAAGCAAUCUAGCGAAGAUCACAAACUUAAUAUUUAAGAUGAUAUUCUUUGGUGUAUGCUUUUCACAAACGAUAUAGUGUUGAUAGAUGAAACGCAGGAAGGGGUAAACGCGAAGCUUAACCUUUGGAGAGAAGUGUUGAAAUCUAAAGGUCCUCGCCUAAGCCGAUCAAAGACAGAAUAUAUGGAGUGCAAGUUCAGUGCAAACGGAGGCCAAAAUGAGUUAGGGGUGAGGAUCGGAGAUCAGGAAAUACCAAAGAGCGACCGUUUUCGCUACCUAGGAUCUAUCUUGCAAAAGAACAGAAAAUUUGAUGGAGAUCUCACCCAUAAAAUACAAGCUGGAUGGAUGAAGUGGAAGAGUGCAUUCGGCGUGUUGUGUGACCGUCGUAGGCCACUGAAGCUCAAGGGAAAAUUUUAUAGGACGGCAAUAAGGCCGGCAAUGCUGUAUGGCAUAGAAUGUUGGGCGGUGAAGCAUCAACACAUAGGUGUAGUGGAGAUGAGGAUGCUUCGUUGGAUGUGUGGGCACACGAGAAAUGAUAAGAUUAGGAAUGAGGAUAUCCGAGGUAAAGUAGGAGUAGCCGAAAUUGAAGGAAAGAAGAGAGAAAAUCGGUUACGGUGGUUUGGACAUGUGCAAAGAAUGCCUACUGACGCUCCGGUUCGAAGAUGUGACCACGGGACAGAGGUUCAGGGCCGAAGGGGUAGAGGAAGACCUAGGAAAACUUUGGAAGAGACCCUAAGAAAAGACUUAGAGUACUUGGAUCUAACGGAGGACAUGACACAAAAUCGAGCGCAAUGGCGUUCUAGGAUUCAUAUAGCCGACCUCACUUAGUGGGAAAAUGCUUUGUUGUUGUUGUUGUUGUGGAUGUUGGGGUCAAAAUUUUAUGUCCGCCUAAGGAUAUUUGAGACUAAAAAUUUAACUCUACUCAGUUUAGCUUCCAAGUCAUUUUUAUUUUCGGUCUUCAGAUUUAGACUAAAUAUUUAACAUUACUUAGUGUAGUUUCAAAUUUAACUUUCCCUUGAGCGCUUGUCUACUGGAUUUAUCUUCUAUAGCCUUUUGUUUGCAAUUUGAAUUACAUGACUCAAAAUACAGCCCAAAUAGAACACAAAUGGCCCUUAGAAAACAAAAUGCGAAAUAUUUACUAAUCACUAUUCAUGGUUUUGGUCAAAGAACUCAAAUUUCAGAGAUACAAAACAGAGCAGCUCGUAUAAAUCAUUUAUAAAGGUUACCUCUUUUUGGUUGAAAAAUUGAAGGGUGACGCCAAUUCUUCUUCAGCUUCCACCUCCUUGUGGAACUUGACCCGCCAGUCACAUUUGCACGUGAACCUGAAAUCAACAACCAGUCAGUACCUUUGGCAAGCUCAUGGGGGUAUGACAACAUGUAUAGGAAUAUUAUUGCAACUCUAUUAAACGAAGAAGUAUUCAGUUGAGGAUGUCGAUGAGGGAGGGAAGAAGAAGAAAAGAAAUGCUAGUUGAGGAACAAAAGAAUUUUGAUGCUGCGUUCGGUUUGUAUGUAUGGUCUAAGAAUUUACAAACUGCCUAUAUGAUUCACUCGCUUCUGUGUCUUCAUCAAAUCUAUUUCUUUUUUACUACCUCUUCUUUCAUGAAGGUAUAAUCGUCACAUUAUUUUCUAACAUAAAAUAUACACCUAACAGACGUUUAAUACAUUGCCCAUAAGUUAACUGAGGUGGGUUUUGCUUGAGUAGUUGGUGACCUUCACAGUCGGCCAAUUGCGGCUGACAUGUGAUUGAUCGUAUAAGGAUAUCUAUUUAAAAUAGUUAAGGGACUUCAAGGAUGCCUCUAGAUUUAUUCUGGUUAGAAGAUCGGGUUGAGUAACAAGUUUUGACUCCAACGGAUAUUUUGCAUAGAAGACUUCAGAAAAUGUGAUUCGCAAAAUGAUGUCAGAUUUCAAAAUUUAAGGCAUGUUUUAAGUGCACUAAGAUAUCUCGAAACGUAUCCUGAUGUGAUACUAUAAUUUCAUGGAAGGAAGAAGAAAGAAUAGUCUAAAAUUUUCCUGUCCAAUAACUCCAUCACCAUCAUCUCCAAUCAGAGCAAUGAUAUCCUCAAUAGACAGAAUUGUUUUAUUUUGGGUACUUAUCUAAACACACAAAAAUUAAACAUUUUCUCAUCCAAUUCACAUAUAAAAUGGUCCAAAAGUGCAUGCAGUGGUUGAGUAGAAACUAAUGUUACUUUGAAUUGAUGAAGUGUUUAUCCUCUAGAAGAUCUACAUAUCUAUUAUAAACCAAUCUUUAGUCUUGCAGAAAGUGAUAUGCUGACUCCAAAUUCCCAUAAUAUUAAAAUUGAUUUACAGUACAAUCUGCAAAUGUAGUUAAAUUUAAUGCUUCCCAUCAUUGCCAUUGUUGCAAAUCAAAUCGUAUGUGCAGAUUUAUGGUACAACACAUGAUCGAAUUAGAUAGUUGUAUGAAUACAUGUUUGUUCUUUCCCUUUCAACUUGUUUGGAUCCUCACUUUUCUCAAACAAAAGAUUAGACUCUUAUGACUUCUUAGCAUAGGGCUUAGAAGGUUUAACCACUCGCAAAACCACUAAUAACAUCUCUCAAACCAUUCAUUGUGCAUAUUCAUGCCAUUUUAAUAUUGAACCUUAUAGGAAUCUAAGCUCAUCAAAGCGUAACUCCGACAAAAUAUACAUAGCAAAUCGACACUUAAUUUCGCAUGAUACUUUUUUUGAGGAAAAACAACGAAGAAAGCCAUUGGGUUACCAUCGUCAAGCGCUCUCAUUUGCCUUGAAAUGGGGGUACCAUAGACACAUAUCCAAACCAGACGCAACGACUCGUAUUCUCUGAAUGCAUUGGUUUAUCAAACACAAACACACAGCCCUAAGAUCAUGUAGUAAGAUUUGGAUUUUUCUUACGCAUGCAUACAGUACAAAUGUAAUAUAGUUAUUUGAAAAAAAUACUCCAGCUCAUCACUUGUAGCCAUGACGCCUUGUUAAAAUUAUUAAAAAACUGGAAUAACAGUAAAGAAAUUGGCAAAAAAUCAAACCUACUAGUCAUUGGUGACCUUCAUAUGAUAAGCAACCACCCAUACCGCAGCCUCUGACGCCUAUCCCAAAAAUAUGGACCUAUAAUAUUCAUUCCCACCGGCACCAAAACCACCAUAGUCGUCUCAUCCCUCCAAGCCGCAGAGCUAUUCUUGAAAACCCAUUACAACAUUUUCCUAGCCGCCCCCUUUACUGCAACAAACCUCAUCAAAAUGCCUAAUAACUGUUCCGGAUGGCACACACCAAAUUUUAUCAUGAGAAAAAAGCAACCCCAGACCCAAAUUAAGCAUUUCAUAAAUCCUAUUUACUGGAAAGAUCUUUUUUUUUUUUGAAGGGAGGUCACCAAUGCUAUCAUAGGGCAUGAGCAGAGAGCGGUUCCAAAACUGCAAACAAAAGCCCCCAAAAGAAAAAUCAAAAUCACCCACAUACCCAAUCGGAGGCUACAAAUUAAAAACAAAAACAAAACAAAAAGAAAAUUUGAACAGAAAAACCAUUUGUAAAUCCAAAGAAUUUCCAUGUCCAGUGCAUUCUUUCUAAUAAUUGACACAAAAGAAAUAAAUAUACAGCCCUAAACCCUAAAUCAGUGGAAGCAAACAGAGAAGGUCAGGUCCUCGAGAGAAAAAAAAAUGAAAACCGAAAGGAAAUUCGCUAUUUACAUUUAUACCAAAAUUAUGAACUUGAAUUUAAUCUUAUUUGAACACAUCCUUGAGCAAUCUUACCUCAAAGCACAUCACCCAGUUAAGUUCUAUAGCAUGUGUGGCCUGAUCAGCCAACUGCGCGUGCCCCACCGUCGAGAUUACCACGUCGACUUGCUCGAUCGCCUUCACCAAGCUCUCAUAAUCGUACAGAUCACCCUGUAAAUUAUAAAUAAUAAAAAAAACCACUCAAAUCAAGCAAAACCCAAUUGGCUAAUCGGAUCAAAAAGCUACAAAAUGCUGGAAAUUUUACAAACCAGGACAAAAUUGAAGCCCAGAUCCUUGAGGUUCUCGAGGAAUUUGGACUUUGCCGGGUUAUAGAGGGUAGUUCUCGGACCAGAAAGUAGGUGGGGUGGCCGGCCUUGGCGCUGGCCUAUGCGAUGAACUUUUCAGUGCCGCCAAUGAAGAGGAAUUUGGACUUGGAUGCCAUCGGGAAUGGGAUUGGGGGGAAUCAGAAUGGGAUGAGUUGGAGAGAGAUAGCGAGUGAUUCGAUUCGAAGUGGAGGAUGAAGGAAGAGGUGGAGGGUCAGUGAGGAGGAGCUUGAGCUCCAUUUGCAGUCGGAGGCUGAGAGAGCAAUGAAAAACGUAGUAGCAAUCCCAGAGGAGAUCGAAAUGAAAGCACACCUGGAGAGUUCGAGAGACAUCCACCGUCAACACGUGGAUAACAGCGGCAUACAUGAAAUAACAGAAGAUGAAAAAGGGCAAAAACGGAAGAACAUUGUAAAAGUAACAGUGUUUUGAGUCCAUAAGGACAUCAUGGGAAUUUACCUGAAAGUUUCUCUUUUAGUACGAGAGCUACAAGACUUACCAUAUUAUCUUAUUUUUCUCACCCACGUUAUAUUUUCAUCUAUCUUAAAAAGUUAAAAAAUUAAUGUUAUUUUCUCGCUCACUAUUAUUCCCAAAAUAACCUUUAAUAUAUAUGUACAUAUGAAAUUAUAAAAUUGUCUCUUAAAAAAUAUAAGAAAUAAUAUGUAAAUGAAAAUUACUAAAGUCUGCAAAUUCAAAUAGAAACGACAGAGGUAUCCAAAUUCAAAAUAUUUCGACAACGACAAAUUUAAAAAUACGAUAGGCAAAUUCAAAUGACCUACACACAAAAUUAUUCUUCUACCUUUUCAAUGGAAACAUAAUCUUCGACCUCUUCUGUUUAAGCUUCAUUUUCUACAUAUUCAAUGAAAAAGUCAUCUUCUAAGUCUAUUGCUAUUUUUUUUUUUUUUACUUUCUCUGAAUGAAAUGAGAUGAAAAUAUGAGUUAAGGUUUAAGGUAGACAAAUUGUCUCCCAUACCCAACUUGUUUUUUUUUUUUUUUUUAAAUUAAGCAAAACAAGAUAAUUAAUGUCCUUAUUAAUCUUUUUGUAAAUGGACAAAUUUGUAAUUAAAAAAUUCAUUAAAAGGUGAGUGGAAAAAUAAGAUAUUGAGGUAAGAAUAACAUCACUCUUUAGUGUAUAUAUAUAAUAUAAUAUAAUUUUACUGUCAGAAUCAUUGAAAAGUGAAGGAACAAAAGUUCAACAUUUUCGAUCCUAAUACGUUUGACUGAGUAGUCCGGAAAGUUACAUUUAAAUCUUGCAUACAUGGAUAUAAUGAAUGUUUCAAUGGUAAUAUCUUAUAUAAUAAUCGUAUCACUAAGUGGGACGUAACAUUAUAUCUGGACCCAUAUUCAUGCCCUUUUCUAUAGCUUUUAUUUGACAAAUAAAAAAUAAAAAAAAAUAAAAAAUAAAAAAACCUUCUACGAAGACAUGGUCGUAAUGGCAGCUACGUACUGAUCAAUAUUAAAUAGCAAGAAAAACAAGAUUUUCGUUGUCAAGGUUCAUUUACCCUUGACCCUUUUAUAGUUGACUUGGAAUUCAUACAGUAUAGUUUAAAUUCUAGCUUCUCUUUUUUUUGUGCAGCAAUGGAUACCAAACCAAUCUUAUUGUUCGAGUUCUCCGUUAUUUUAUUAUGUGCAUUUUGGAAGUCUCACAUCUCCCUUGCAGCUGAACACUAUCAGCGAAAACCAAUCUCUCUCGGGCGAUCAAACCAUUGUCUUUGCAGGUGGGAUGUUUGAGCUAGGUUUCUUCACUAGUACAAAAAAUACUUUGCGCGACGUAGGACCGUCGUCGCGCAAAGUCAAAAAUACGUCGCCCAAAAAUUAGCCAAACGAACCUUCGUCGCGCAAAGUAUUUAGGGUUUAGGGUUUAGGGUUUGCGCGACGUAGGUAGGCACUGCGUCGCGCAAAGUAUCUUUGCGCGACGCAGGAUCUACGUCGCGCAAAGCUACUUUGCGCGACGUAAUGCCUACCUACGUCGCGCAAAGUUUUAUUUAUUUAAUUUUUUUUUUGUCAUUUAUAUUUAUUUUUUUAAUUUUUAAUAAAUAUCAUAAUUACAUUCUAAAAAAUAAUUAAUAAACCAAGAAAAAGUAAAUAAUUAUAGAAUAUAUGAAAAUGUAUGUUUGUCCGAACAAAAAAAUAAAAAACUACAAGUCUUCUAAGUUUAAUACAUCAUGCUACUCGGUAUCGUCGGGGCAAAAUGGCUGGGAAGUCGAAGGUGGAGCAACAUUAGGUGCUGGCAUCGUCGGGAUUUGGAGGCCGGACAUCGCUAAGGCCUGAACAAUCAUAUUCAUCCUCUCGUCCUGGGCCCUAAUAUGGUCGCCCUGGGCCGCAACCUGACCUCUUAGGGUUGUCACUUCCUCCUUCAAGGAAUUGACCUCUCCUGUGGACAAUCUGGAAGAAGAGGCACCCGUUUCACGAAGAGGAAGGAUCAAAUUAGUUAAACCGUGGCAGUAUGUGUAUUUUGUGAGCAAAAAUGUACACAAAGAGGAAGAUUCACUGCGGUCCUUUUUUGGAUUUGCUGCUCAUUACAUAUUUUGUCCGCCUAAAAGGGCUUUAACUUUGAACAAAUUUUGGAGAACUCAAGUCCAAACCAUUUACCUCAGCAGUAUGGUCCUUCACAAUGUGCCUACAGUUAUAGUUCCCAUCAUCAGAGCCUUGCCAUAUGCGAACUGUCUGCAACAUUAAAGGGGAAAAAUGAUGAUACAACAUCAAAAGAUGGAGUACACUAGGUUGAAUAUCUGAUUGGUUACACCCUUACAACCUAUGCAAUAACAUCUAAAUUGCAUGCAUGUAAAGUUCUUUAUUGACUCCAAUUUAUCCUCUUUUUUUCCUGAUCUCCUUUUUGUGUUUGGGUCAGGGAGGUUGAUCACCACCCCCAGUUGCAUAAAAAGUAACUUUAGAAUAUAAAUUUAAAUCCGUGUAGAUCCACAUAGAUGUACAUAAAAAGUCCCAAGGUUAAACUUGUAACUGUGAGGUAGGCAGAGUUUAGCGGUGGCCAAGUUAAUAAUGAAUGACAAACAAAGCUAAUGACAACUCCAGUAAAUAGAGAAGAUAAAAUAGUAAUGAAGAUUACAGCAUUUGUAUCAACCCCUCCAGUUGCAAUGAGAUUCUGCGAGAAUAAAGCCAAAAAGUAAUACUUGAUCAGCAAAAUGGAAACAUAACUGAGUUCAAUGACAUAAAAUACACAGGACAGACACACAAGGAUUUAUGACUUUGUCCUUAAUCCAUAAUCCCGUAUAUACCAUGAAGACAAAAGAUCAGUGUAAAGUGUGGAUUAAGGUAGGAAAAGCAUGCAAAAGAUCUAAAUUCUCAUCAAAUACCAUUACGCAAAAGAACACUAAAACAAGAGAGCUUCAAGGCUCAAUAAAUUCUAGAUUUGUUCCUACUAAAUUCGUUUUCUUCAUUUCAAGACAUUUGGUUUAGGAUCAUCCCUAAACCUAAAACUGUAGAUAUAUGAACAUUAAAGAUCAAAAUGCACUUCUAAUAGUACAAAGGCAGUAUUGAAGAGCAAAAUCAUGCAACAUCCAGUACGAACCUAAGAGUCUUUCACUGGAGUCAAAUACCCAUAUGGAAGUGAUGCUUAAACAAAAUGAUAUAAUAGCAGAGGUAAACACAAUCUCAUACCUUGUUAGACUGAAUAUCAAUCGAUAAAAUUCCUGGUUUGCUUGUUCUAUGAAGAGAAUGACUAGAUAUCUGAGUAUACCUCUCCAACGCAUCAACUGGAGCUAAUGUUGGGGAUAUCUGAACACCAAAGCAACAUACAGAUAAAAGCAAUAACUAUCAGAACUUAUCAAAUAAAUUCUGUGAAAACAGCUGAACUUCACUAGCAGCUUUUCUCAAGAAAAGAUUAUGUGAUAAACCCAAUUCCCUGCACAAAACCAAAUAAAACCCAAUUCACUAAAACCAAUUCCUAAUGAGCAGCAAACCCAAUUCCCUGCACAAACGCAUUAACAUUAACCAUAUUUAAUGAAAGAUAAUGUGAUACUACAGAUGAUACACAUUGGCUAGUAGGAAUAGGUUUGAAAAAUCGAAAACCCAAAAAAAUCGAACCGAAGCCAAAGAAAAACGGAAUACCAAACCCACCCUUUGGUUAUGGAAAUCUCAACUCGGUUCAAAAGUCAUAGGAUGUAGUUAACUAUGAUUUACGGCUACUAAGUCAGGUUCAUUAGUUUUGACCUUAAAUAUUUCUUAGAUUCAUACAACUUAUAACUCAAAUGAACGCAUGAAAUUUCAACCAAUCAUCUAUAAACAUACAUAACACCAGCCAUCAAUCAUCAAUCUACAAAUGCAAUUCAAAUUUUAGGAAAACCCUAAAUGGUGGCAACAGAACAAUCAUCAAUCUACAAAUUCUAAUUUAAAAACCCUAAAAUCCCUACACCAGAAAUUCACAUUAAUAACAAAACCUUAAAUCAAAAUUACCUAAAUUUUAGAUGGAUGACAGCGGGGGUGUUGUCGAAGAGGAGAGAAUCGACGGCGGGGGUGAUGGGGUGAUGGCUGGUGAGCACUACGAGGAGGAGGACGAUUCAGAGUUGGAGAGUCGAGGGAAGGGAGUCGAGGGACUGAGAGUCUGAGAGUGAUUCUGGUACUCGGGUGGAAUUGGUUGAGGAGGAUAGUCGGCUGGAGUGAGAGAGAUGAGAGACCGAAAGGCUUUUGGUUUGGGAAGAGAGAUCGAGUGAGAGAGAUGAGAGAGUGGAAGGCUUUUGGUUUGGAAAAUUUGGGAUUUUUUUUUUAAAAAAAAGCGCCUAUUUUUCAUAAUUGCCCCGCCAAAAUAAUGACAAAUAGCUCGACGCAGGUAUACAUUUCGACGUCGCGCAAGAUUUUUUUUUUUUUUUUUCAAAUAUAAAUUUUACCGAAAAUUUACUUAAUAAAUAUAUAUACCUUUGAACUUGAUGGAAUACGCAUUGUACGAAACUAAUUUCAACAAUCCAACCGUCAAAAUUGUUUGUAUAUAUUCCGAUAUCGCAUACGCCAAAAAUUGGAAAAAAAAAACAUCCAAAUAUCAAGUAACAUGACAAAACCUUUUGACGGUUAUAAACGAAAAAUCACGAUUUAACGGUUAUUUUUAACUCCAAUUUGUUGAGUUUUUCCAACUAUACUCCUUUAGCCUAUAUGAAUACAACGAACCAAUUCGAUCGUCAAUUUAAAAUAUUUACACAAGCGGAUACCACAAAAUGUUAUGUUAAACUUAAUGAUAGUAUAAAUAAACUCCAAGUGUUAGGAAAUAUAUCGUUUUGAUGAAAUACGCAUUCUACGAAACUAAUUUCAACGAUCCAACCAUCAAAUUUGUUUGUAUAUAUUCCAAGAUCGUAUACGCCAAAACCUGGAAAAAAACAAACAUCCAGAUAUCAAGUAACGAGACAAAACCUUUCGACGGUUAUAAACGAAAAACACGAUUUAACGGUUAUUUUAACUCCGAUUUUGAUGAUUUUUUAGAGCUACACUCCUUGAGCCUAUAUGAAUACAACGAACCGAUUCGAUCCUCAAUUUAAAAUAUUUACACAAGCGGAUACCACAAAAUGUUAUGUGUAAACUUAAUGAUAGUAUAAAUAAACUCUAAGUGUUAGGGAAUCUAUCGUUUUAAUGAGAUACGCAUUGUACGAAACUAAUUUCAAUGAUCCAACCGUCAAACUUGUUUGUAUAUAUUCCGAUAUCGCAUACGCCAAAAAUUGAGAAAAACAAACAUUCAGAUAUUAAGUAACGGGACAAACCUUUUCGACGGUUAUAAACAAAAAAGCACGAUUUAACGGUAGUUUUAACUCCGAUUUUGAUGAUUUUUUAGAGCUACAUUCCUUGAGCCUAUAUGAAUACAACGAACCGAUUCGAUCCUCAAUUUAAAAUAUUUACACAAGCGGAUACCACAAAAUGUUAUGUUAAACUUAAUGAUAGUAUAAAUAAACUCCAAGUGUUAGGGAAUCUAUCGUUUUGAUGAAAUACGCAUUGUACGAAACUAAUUUCAACGAUCCAACCAUCAAACUUGUUUGUAUAUAUUCCGAGAUCGCAUACGCCAAAAAUUGAGAAAAAAAAACAUUCAGAUAUCAAGUAACGGGACAAACCUUUUCGACGGUUAUAAACAAAAAAGCAUGAUUUAACGGUAGUUUUAACUCCGAUUUUGAUGACUUUUUAGAGCUACACUCCUUGAGCCUAUAUGAAUACAACGAACCGAUUCGAUCCUCAAUUUAAAAUAUUUACACAAACGGAUACCACAAAAUGUUAUGUUAAACUUAAUGAUAGUAUAAAUAAACUCUAAGUGUUAGGGAAUCUAUCGUUUUAAUGGGAUACGCAUUGUACGAAACUAGUUUUAACGAUCCAACCGUCAAACUUAUUUGUACAUGCUUCGAGAUUGCGUCCGCCAAAAAUUGCAAAAAACAAACAUUCAGAGAUCAAGUAACGGGACAAAACUUUUCAACGGUUAUAAAUGAAAAAGCACAAUUUAACGGUAGUUUUAACUCUGAUUUUGAUGAUUUUUUAUAGCUACACUCCUUAAUCCUAUAUGAAUACAAUAAACUAAUUUGAUCAUCAAUUUAAAACAUUUACACAAGUGGAUACCACAAAAGAAAAAGGCAAUACAAGAACCCAAAAAAAAAAAAAAAAACUUUGCGCGACGUAGGUCCACCUGCGUCGCGCAAAGCUAUUAUGCGCGACGCAUGUGUACCUACGUCGCGCAAAGUUUUUUUUUUUUUUUUUUUUUUUUUUUUGCUUUUGCUUAUGAGUACAAAAUAAAUAAAUUAAAAUGUACUUACUAAAUAUAUAUACCAUUGAAUUUGAUGGGAAACGCAUUGUACGAAAUUAGUUUCAACGAGCCAAUGGUUCGGAUUUCGGGUUAAGAAAUCUGAAUGGAAUUUAGAUGGAGGAGAUCUCUGCAAUGUUACUGGUAUCAGAAUGUGUGUGUGUAUAUUGCAUUAUAAUAUAACGUUGAUGCAAGAAAUGGAAAAUUGAUACUUGAAGGGAGUUCUAAUGUAAGUCGUAUAUUAGAUUCUCAAAUCAAAGCAAAGCUGCUAAUCCAGGACUCCAUCCAACCUUUUGGGCAGAUUUGAAAGCAAGAGUUCCACCAAAAGUAAAAGUUUUGGCUUGGACUGGCUCACUGGAGGAUACAUGUGAUAUGAUCCAGGAAAUUGCCUUUUGUGUGUGUUUCACCUCACUGAUGCAUUUUGUGCAACAAAGAGGGCGAAAGGAGUGUGGAUCAUAUGUUUACAACUAUGUGGUGGAGAUUGUAUGGGGUUGACAAUGUAAAUUAGGUCGGAGUUCUGUUUCUUUGCUCCCUGAGAAACAAAGGUAAGGGUAAGAAAGAAAUGGUCUCCUGCAGUGCAUGGUGUUAGUAGUAAUUCAGAUGGAAGGCGGAUAUUUGAGCAAAGUGAAGGUGUGGAGUUGAGGAACUUUGGGAGAAAAUCAAAUUUUGGUUGUUACUUCGGGGCUUUGGUUGCUGGAGAGUUCAAAAAGUUGUCCCUUUUCUAGCAAUUAUUUGGACUGGGGAGAUCUUGUUGAUGAUUAGAAUUACGAAAUUCCUUUGUUGUUAUUCAUAGAUCCAAAAUAAAAACUAGUUGUGUUAACUAAUGUGGGAAUUGGGGAGAGCAAGACAUACAAAAUAAUAACAUUGUUUCUAACGAUUACAGAUUUAGGCAUUAUGGCUAUUCCUAGUAAUUCAAACUUCAAACCUGAUCUGGUAGACGAUUUUGAAGAGAGAGAUGGGCGAUGGAGGUAGUUGCUGCAACUGGGUAUGCAGUUUCUGCCUCCCAAACUGAUCAAAUGAAAAGAAAAAAAAGUUUGUGACUUUGCGCGACGCAUGUCCACCUACGUCGCGCAAAACAACUUUGCGCGACGUAGGUGGGCAUGCGUCGCGCAAAGGUGGGAAAAAGCGGUAAAUUCUAAGGGUUUGGCGCCAAAAGUUUGCGCGACGACGGACUACGUCGCGCAAAGCCGUUUUGCACGACGUAGGUGUACGUACGUCGCGCAAAGCCGUUUUGGGCGACGUAGUUCUUCGUCGCGCAAAGUAACGUCGCGCAAAGCUGUUUUGCACGACGUAGGGGUACGUACGUCGCGCAAAACGUCUUUGCGCGACGUAAUUUAAUGCGUCGCGCAAGUUUUCGUCGCGCAAACAUGUUUUUGUACUAGUGCUUCAAACCAGGUCAGCUUUCAAACUACUAUAUAGGUAUAUGGUACUCCAAGCAAGUAGCAUCUGAGAGCAAGUGGUAUCUGAGAGGACUGUUGUUUGGGUAGCAAAUAGGGAAAUACCAGUGAUAGGGAUUUUACCACGCACGUAACAGUUUUAAAAACUCAUAUAAUACUUGCAAAAAUGACAAAGAUAUUGUAGUAUAAAUAGUUUCCACAUGGAUUAUUAAAUAAUUCGAAACAAACCAAAUUUCAAUUCAUUAUUGUAAAACAAAAAUUGUGAUGAUUGAUUUUCAUGACCUAAUGUAAUAAAACGAAUUUAAUUAAUAAAAGUAAAUCAAUCUGCAAUAUUAAAAAUUGAAUUUUAACGAAAAGCUUAUUGUACAGUUCACUUUAACGAAAAAUCACAUUUUUACACUAAAAAGUCAAUCCUAAUACUAUUCACUUCACCAUUUAUUUUGUUAUUAUCGUUAAAACUCAAAGUUUUCAAGCUCUUUUUAUUAGUUUUCCUUAUUAAAAAUGAGAAAAAAUGAAAUAGUUUUGUAGAAAUCAAAUUAAGAAAGCAUUAAGGAUCCGCCAUCACAUCUAAACAUGCAUGACUCAUUAAGUUUUGUGAAACUUUUUAAAAAAAUCAUACAACCCUUAACACGUAGUAUUCAUCCUAAAUGCACCUGCACAUAUUAAUCACAAGAAAUUUUCGUCAAAAACUCAAGAUAAAAAAACAAUACAAACCGUGGGCCUCAAAAACUCAAAAUAAAAAACAAUCAUUUACUUUUUGUUUUCUUUCUUUUUCUAUUUCUUUUCUCUUUUUUUUUCCUGUUUUUUUCAUUCUUCCUCAUGGGGCUUUCAAAACACGCGCAAGUGCAAAUGGGAAGGGUUCAAAUUGAUUUCAGUAAGAUUGGUUUGUAGCAAUGAUUUUAAGAGAGGUGUUCCCGUCGAUUUAGCAGUAGAAGCAGCUAAUCGACAACUGGGUUGGUGUCGGUAUUGCAGCAACAAUGAUUCGAUGUCGGUUCGUGAGCUACAAGGCACGCGAGCUUCGAUUUGGGUGCGAUGCAGCAGUGGAUCAUGAUAGAUACGGAUCGGUGCGGUGGACUCGGGUCAGCAACGACGGCGUCGCUCGCUGGUCGGACGGCGUAGCACAACUGGUGCGCGACUAGGAGUUUUGUUCUGCGCAUAGGGAACGGCUUUUGGUUUUUUUCUUAACCUAGGCUCUGGUGCCAAGAAGAGAAUGCUUUGAAUGAUGUGUUUAUCUUCUCAGGAAAAGGUAGAAUAUACAAUCUUAAUUCUAACUAAAUAGGGAAGAAUAAUUACAGAAGAUUACAAAGAUAUUUCUCUCAUAUUACUCAUAUUACACGGGGAUCCAUCUUAAAGAGGAAAUUCUAAAUUAUAGGAAUUAUAAGUCAACAAACAAACCAACGUAAGAGUGUGGAUCAACCGACGAAUGCACCAUUCUAACAACGUUAAUAUCAUCAAUUUGAGUCUAAUUACCAUCAAUGUAAGAGUCAGUUUGAUUACAAUUAGCAUCAGUAAGGACAUCAGUUUAAUCUCGAACAAAGCUCCACUGCCAGUUUCGGCAUUAUUGAUCUCCACAACCUUGAAACCCAUGAUUGUGCUGAUUCUUUAUCGGGACGAGCCCAAAAACACAAACAGAAAAAGAAAAAGAAAAAAGAAAAUCAGUUAAACUUGUUUUUGAGAGAGACAACAUGAGUAUGGUAUAUAUACGGAGGACGUACAUAAAAAAUGCGUCCGUUUUCGACGAAUUCAGACAUCGGAAAGCGUCCUCCCUCUGACGCCGCCGUCGCCGUCAAGUGUUGCAGUUUAGCCUCGCUUUACUCCACGGCUUAUCUGUGUCAAAUCGACCGCUACAUCUCCCACAAAAACCCUAAAUCUUUUCAUCAAUUUUCAGUAGCGUACGAUCCGAUGCGCCUCGACACACCUUAAGCCUGUUUUUGAACAAUCUCCGAAAACAGAGCUAGUCAUGGAGGCGCAGAUCCUACUGCGGUGUCAAACGUGGGGGUUUUUCUCUUCUCAUAGUUUUGCCACUAAAAACGUCCACUAAAUUUUCAGAAUUUGGAUUUUUUUUUUUUUUAUGUAUUUUGAUAUUGUUUUGUGAAUUUUUGGCAAUGAAUACAAAUUAUCCGCGCUUCUGAGAGCAAUCGAUGAAGUAGAAUGUGAUAAUCAAUGGUUGAAUUUCUUGAUAUGAGCCAUUUAAGUUUUUGAUUUGCUGAUUUGGGUCGGUGACAUUUUUGGGUUUUGUUGAUUAAUGUUGGCGGUGAUGACUAAAUUUUACAGCUUUAUGCCAGUUCUGCUUCAGAAAAUUCGUGAUUGAGAGAGCUGUUUCAUACUCUGAGCC
rnacentral:lncRNA from 1 species